rnacentral:lncRNA from 1 species
CACCACUACCUACCCCAAUUUCCAUUUGGGGAGAUCUCCCAAUUGAUUUCGUGCUCGGACUGCCCAAGACCCAAAGACAGUAUGACUCAGUCAUGGUUGUAGUUGACAGAUUCAGCAAGAUGACACACUUUGUAGCCUGCAAAAAGACAAAUGACGCCACCUACAUAGCUAAUCUCUUCUUUCGAGAGAUAGUACGGCUGCAUGGAAUACCAAAUACCAUUGUUUCUGAUCGGGAUGUCAAAUUCCUAAGCCAUUUCUGGAAGACAUUAUGGAACAAAUUUGACACAACCUUGAAAUAUAGCACAACAGCACACCCUCAAAUAGUUGGCCAAACAGAGGUUACAAACAGGACCCUUGGCAACUUAAUACGCUGUCUCAGUGGAUCCAAACCAAAGCAGUGGGACUUAGCUCUUGCUCAGGCAGAAUUCGCCUUCAACAAUAUGAAGAAUAGAUCAACCAGCAAAUGUCCAUUUGAGGUUGUAUUCACGAAACAACCAAGGCUAACCUUUGACCUAGCAUCACUCCCCGCAACUAUGGACACUAGCUCAGAAGCAGAAAAGAUGGUAGAAAAUAUUCAGAACUUACAUGAAGAGGUCCACAGUCACCUAAAAGAAUCAACUCAGUUCUACAAAGAGGCAGCAGACAGAAAGAGAAGACAAGCUACCUUUACUGAGGGAGAUUUAGUAAUGAUUCACCUUAGAAGAAACCGAUUCCCAACUGGAACAUACAACAAACUGAAAGACAGACAAUUAGGACCAUUUUGUGUCCUAAAGAAGAUCAGAGAUAACGCUUACAAAAUAGAACUACCACCAGACUUACACAUUCAUCCUAUUUUUAAUGUAGUAGACCUAAAACAGUACUAUGCCCCAGAUGAUUUCUAUGCUAGGGGGGUGGAAUGAUGUAAUAAGAUAGUUAGUUUGUUGUCAAGACAGUUAGAUAGUUAGUCUGUUAUAUUCUGUUGUUAGUUGAAACUAAUCAGCUGUUUAAAACUGAUUAGUUACCCCAAACUACCAAAAUUGAUUGUAACUACCACAUACUUCAUCAAUAAAUAGCCAUUCUCCAGCUGAGAAUAGGCAGAGAAUUCAUUUGAGAAAUUAGUUCUACCUUGAUUUACAUUACAUGACAUACCUCCCAGCUAGUUGAUAUUUGCUUUUGUGGUGCACAUUACUUGUCGUCUUUCUCAGAAUCUUUUGGCAGCCUGGUUUCUGUUUUUUCUGUUAGAAAACUGUUGAAGUGCAGUUUCUUCACUUUAGUUUUUGUAACAUUUUUUCCCUUGUACUUUUCUUGUUUCAAGGAUUCCUUUUUCUUUUAAUUUAUUUAAUUUUAAUUUUUUUUAUUUUAAGUCACUGGACAUUAGGAGCUCCAUCUGCUUUAUUUUGUUGGUUGUUUUUCAAUGUGGUCUUCACUGAACUUUUUAAAAUAUAAGAAAGAAGAUGUAUUGGAAACCAAAACAUUACAGCAGUUCAAUACUGGAUUUAAAAUAUGUUAGAACCGAACUAUAUAUUCUCAUAACAAGUCUCUAUUUAUGAGUAUUGAAAGCAAUAAACAGGAAACCAAGACUUACGUGGAAACUCAAGUACUGUGAGAAAAACCACGAUAUUGUUGUUUUUAUUAUUUUCUUAUGAAUUAUUCAAUUGGUACAAUAAGGGAGAAUAAAUAGAAUACACAAAGGAAUAAAAAAGGAAAAGAUUUAGACAUUAGGGUAAAUAUUUCCCUAAUCUUUCCAUAAAUAUCCAAAGGGCCAAGCCCACUAAUUCUAACAAUGAGCGAUCCAGUAUAUUUAUUACUUACAUUCACAGGUUUAGUAGGUAUUGGCAAUCUCUAAUUUCAUUGCUAUUCCUCAUUUUUCAUGUUCUACAGAUGACCAAGCAUCCGGUUCUACUACUUUCCAACCAAGAACGAGUGCUAAGAAAUUUUAUAUUCCAGCGAGACUAGUGAUUGGCAAUGAUGAGUAUGUGAUUUAUUUAAACUAAUGCAUGUUUCGAGUAUGUGCAUGGAUAUUAGAUGAACAGUAUACUUGUGUAAUAUCACUAUAAUUUUUGUUUUUUCUGUAUAAACAAAAAUGCAGAUUUUAGUACUUCAUUUUCAUAGACAUAAAAGUUUCGAGACAAUUGUGCUACUAACGUUCUUGUAAUUGACUCUGAAUGACUGGUAGGUAUGUUAAGAUUGGAAAAGGCAAUCAAUUGGUCCGAAAUCCAAAAAGAAGAGCACGCAUACUGGCAAGUGAGAAAAUUCGAUGGAGUUUGCACACUGCGAGACAGCGGCUGGCUAAGAAGCGGAUGUACUGUCAAUUUUUCACAAGAUUUGGUAAAUGUAACAAAGAUGGUGGCAAGUGCCCUUAUAUUCACGACACUUCCAAGAUUGCAGUCUGCACAAAAUUUCUCAAUGGUUUAUGUUCUAACGCAAGCUGCAAAUUGACUCAUAAGGUUCACUAAUUGAACUGAUGAAUCUUUUCUUGCGUAAGCUUUAGUUUUGUUAAUGGUCAAAUGUCGAUAACCUUUCAUCUCAAUUUUUGAUCCUCACAGGUGAUUCCAGAAAGGAUGCCUGAUUGUUCAUACUUUUUACAGGGUACUUCUCAAACUUUAACUUCUCCAAAAAAAGAAAAAAUAUUUAUAGGACUCCAGGUUUAUAAGGACUUCUUGACAGGUUUAUGCAGCAGCAAAAAUUGUGCUUAUAGACAUGUAAAUGUGAACUCAAAGGUUCCUACUUGCGAGGCUUUCCUUAGGGGCUAUUGUGCUCUGGGAAACGAGGUAAUCUCCACUUUUCAAACAUUAUUUUCUGGCUACUUAACAUGAAGCACUUGCACAUUUAUUUAAUUUAGUCUUAACUCUUAACAAAUAUGCUGCAAAUUUUCUGGUCAAACACAUUGUUUGCUCCCUGAAACGAAACUCCCUGAAAAUCUUCAAUUUUUGCAAGUGUGCUUCUUGAUACUGGUGACCCUUCCUGACCGAGGACCCAAUAAUUUUUUCCGGUGGCGGAUGCUGAAAAAUAGUUCAAAAGAUAUUUUGUUGACUGUUUCUCAGAAAUGCUUUUAUCUUACUUCUAAAUUUGCUCCUUUAGACGCCAUUUGAAUUUUUAAAGACAAUAUCAAGUUUUUAACUCAAUAAUAUGUCGUGUGUAACUGUAAAUUGUGAAUCUAAUGAAACCUGGAACCUAAUUGUUCAGUGCCGUAAGAAGCACAGUUAUGUGUGCCCCUUGUUAGAAGCAACAGGAACAUGCCCGGAUAGAUCAACAUGCAAACUUCACCAUCCUAAACGACAAACUAAAGGAAGGAAAAGGAAGCGAUUGGAAGGGAGGAAUAAUGAUCAAGGACGCUACUUCGGUUCUACGAAUCAGGAUGUUUCUAGAUCUAGAUUGGUGGUGAGUGAGAAGCAGCUUCCUGUUAAAUCAAGUGACCCUUUUCUUGAAGAUCUGACAGAUUAUAUCAGCCUUGAUGUCGGCAGUGAUGAAGAUAUUGAAGAAAGUCGUGACUCGACAAGCCAGACUACGUCCUUUAGUCAAGGUUACCUCUCUGAGUUAUUGUUAGAAGAUCCCGACGAGCUAAUCAAACCAAUUCGGGUAAUGAAUGAGAAUUUGACUGUGCAGUAGUUGGCAAACUGAGUUGCUUGCUCCUUCCUCGUUAGGAGCAAGGUUUGUGUCCGUUCUCUCACCAUUAAGGUUUAACAGAAUCACAGUUUAGUUUAGUUUUAGUUUUAGUUUUAGUUUUAGUUUAGUUUUUUUUUUCUUUCUUUGUUUAGUUUAGUUUCAGCUUCUUCUAGUUGCAGAAAUCUGGAUAACUCCGUUUCUGCCAUUACUGUAAAUAGACAUUUAAAUUUGACAGGAAUGAAAUGAUUUUGUAUGAAAAGCUAAAAUAUUCUUUUUUAUUUUUUUUCUCUCUUCCAUAACACUUACCUAGGGUAACUAUUGUCUUCAUCCAAACUUUAUUUUUACUCCAUUCUGUUUAUUCUCUCUUUCUUUUUUAUUGAUGUUUUCAAAUAUGAACCUAACAUUGUAAAAUUUCAGAUAUUUUCAUGAAAUUUUGUGAUAGUUCUACCAUUUAUAAUAAUUCUUUUUUAUUCUCUUUGGUUUUAUUAAUAAUUAUUUCUAUUUUAUACCAUAUAUCUUCAAAAUUUCUUCAACUGUCUAUAAAAGGUUUAUAUUAUUUGUCAUCAAUUAUUUUAUUGUGUAUGGAUAUGUAUUGAAUUUUAUUCUUUUGAAUGAUGUGUGUAUGUUGGGUUUCACAAAAAGUUUAAGUAAAGGCGUUUUAGGUUUAGUCACAAAGUUAGUUUAUAAACUAAUUUGAAAUAGUUUUCUGAUUUUAAAAAGUAGCUAAUAUGCUCGUAAACCUAAUAAAAUAUUUAUUUGAAAUUAACUAAUUGUUACGUGAGAUUAGUCAAUUAACCUUACAAUAAACUCAAAAACUUCCAAAUGCCACUUUUAUUCGCAUAUAUUUUUUAAUUUUAUUCGAAAUAAAAAUAUCAAUAAAGAAUAGAAUUAAAAAAAGGAGACGUUAAUAGAUAUUUUUAUAUAAUUUCUUACAUUAUAAUAUUUACAUCAUUAAACAUGAACCGAUUGAGGUCGGAUACUAUUUUGUUGCUAUGGAUGUUUCGUGAACAACGUCAUGGACCGCUGGUUUUGUGAGUAAUCCAUUAUUGAAAUGUAAAGUUUGAGAAAGCAUGAAGAUUAAGAAUCUGUUUGGAUUGAAUUAGAAACAAAAUAUUUUUCAAAAAUACAUUUUCUUUUAACACUUUCUUGAAAAUGAGUUUAAAUUUAAACACUUACAUGUUUGGUUAGACUUUUUUAUAAGUGUUUAUAUGUAAAUUUUAUUUAAUUUCUAUAUACCAAAAAUGUUUUAUACUUAACUUAAAGAACUACUAAAUACGAUCAUCUAAUUUCAUAAAAAACACAUAUAUUUUAAUUUUAAAAAAGAAAUAUGCUUUGAAAUUAAUCACACUAUAUAUUGGAACUAAUUAUUUUAAAAUUUUGAAAUUUGUAAAGUUAGAACUAAAAACAUUUUUUUUUAUUAAUUUUUAUUUUAGGACUAGAAGUAUAUUGAUAUUUAAAUUGAUAAACAAGAUAUUUAUUUAUUUAUUUAUUCUUUUAAAAAAUAAAUAAAAGAAAUUAAUAAUACCUUCCGAAAUAAACACACAAAUGAUAAUAACCACGUAAUCUGCACCGAAGCGGCCCCCUUGGGAGAAAAAGAAAACUGCAGAAAGGAAAUUCCAAAGAGGGCAGACUGGCGGUAGCAGAAAGAAAGAAGAAGACUAAGGCAUUUAGGGCAAAGCUUUGAACAUUCAUAUUCCUCAUAACAAUGCCGGUGGAAUGAAUCGCUUCUAAGGGAACAUCCCACGGGGUACCCACACCUUUCAUCGAAGAACUACUGAAGUUCGAAGUUUUCUUACGCGAUUUUUCUGCUUUUUGAUUCAAUGGUUGACGGGAGUACUGGAAUGCAUUUUCCCGAUCAUCGGUUGGAUAGGUCAUUGUGUCAAAGUUUUUGUCACGGAAUUGUGGAGGGGGUGUCUGGGGUGGAAGAAUGUGACAAGGACUAUCUGAAUUUCUUAAAUGAUUUGACGUACGGUGUGGACAGUAAUGAUGAGAACGUUGAUGCUUAUCUUGAGGAUGGUGAUAAUUCGACUUCACACUUUAACUGGUCGGAUAAAAAAGUUGAUCCUGUUUAUAGGAUGUUUUUUCACCAUUUGAUCGGAGAUGGGAAAGCUUAUAAGCUUGAAAUUCCAUCGGUUAAUGGGAUGAAAGUGUAUGCUGUGAAGUACGAGGAACAGGAACAAGAACAAUCAAGUCUUAAUAGAAAAAGACCUGGAACUACCAGGAUCUUAAGGAGUGAUUCAAAGAGAAUGAAGAUAGAGAGCCAACCUAAAAAAAGCCCGGUUUUUUCAUUUGAAAAAGAGUUCAAUGUGGAUUGUGCAAAAUCUAUUGAUGGAAAUUCAAGCACAAUCCCCGGUGCACUUCCUCGUUCUGCUAAGCAUCUUUUCCAAUCCAAUUCUGACUCGAAUUUGAUAGAUGAAGACUACAAGACAUUUUUGAAUGAUUCCUUUUAUGAUGAUGAUCAUACAUUGACAUAUACGCCAGUGGACGGUAGGUCAAUUGUCUAUGAGGACGGUGAAAGUAUCUCUGAUUCAGAAGUGCUGAUGUUUGAGACUGAUCCAUGUAAGCAAAACCGUCGUUCCUUUGGGAGAAAAUAUUCUUGUUUUACUGUGAGUAUAUCUAAUUCCGGUGCUAUGAUCUCUCUGUAUUCUAAUGAGGAAUGAUAUCUGUUUCUGUCUGUUCUUUGCCUAUAUUAGUUAUUCUAUGUCUUACAUUGAUAGAUUUCUCUCUUUCCAGGUGGACGUAGAUAGUGGGAAGUGUCUUAGUCUUGGUAGACGUACUGGUUCCAAUUUCAGGGAAAGGCUCAUGAAAGUUCUUAAAAGUCCAUACGACGAACGUCAGUAUGACUAUUAUCUUGAUGAAGUAAGUCGUCGUCGGCCACAAGUGCGUCAUAGAGAGUUACGUAGUCGAGUGCUAAAAGCAUAUCAACUGGAUUCUUACGGCAAAUCAUAUCUUCAUAUCCAUAGUGGUGAGUUUUCUUAAUCCAAUUGUAAUUUUCUUUUGAAAUUAUAUUGACUGGAUUUUUUUGUUAUCAAUUACCAUUCUUCUUCAGUGUGUUCAAAGGUACCUGAGGAACAUAUUUCCUGUAGACUUUCAUCCUUAGAGAGGAUCUUCUUACCCUGAUCUGAUACUUUUAUCAGAUUUUACUUUCAUAGUUUGCUGCAAUAUUUUCUCGUUAUUAAAGAUAAAAUAGUUCUUCAGUAUUCUGACUUUCAAAGAACUAAUAAAUGUUAGAAGAAACCAUGAGUGAUUUUCUACUACUAACAUGGUAUCUACUCGAUCCAUCUACUAUGUCACACCAUUUUGAAAUGUUUUGAUGUGACGACAUGAAAUUUUUUUCAUACUAACAUAGUACUAGAUGUUGGCCCACGGAACUACCUUCUAGCUUGAUGUGAUGAAUGUUUUAUCUUAGAAAGUGUUAAAGUAACCUUUUUGACAUGUCCUAUUGUUUGUCAAAUAGAUAUCUGAUUUACUCUUGCUUUUUUUCGGUUCAUUAAUUUAUUUGCAUGAUGUUUGUUAUUACCGGUGUGAGGUUCUAUAUACUAAUAGUAUCUCCUAUGUUUUCUUACUGCAGAGCUUGCUACGAAAAUCCAAGCAGUUCAAUAUGAUCGCCUUAGAACUUUGACUCUACUGCGUGGCUUCUUCUAUUGGUUGCAGGUAGUUUUUAUAUUAAUUUAGCACAAAUUUUUAUUUCAGUAGACAUUUUUAAAGAAUGUCUCAAUGGUUAAGCAGCAUUUCCUCUCUUAAAAGGUCGGAAAUAUUAUUGUUGAACUUGAAAAAAUAGUCAUUUUUAGCAAUGAGUAGGGAUGACACGAAAGUGAAAUGAAGUUUUCUCACCAGCCAGUUCUUUGUUUUUUUUUUUCAAACUGAAACAAGUAGUUUUAUUAGAGAUCAGGAAGAGGCACAAGCUCAAGCUCAGUGUACAAGAGAGUUAUACAAGAGCUUACUAGAUAACUAGAACAAGAGGCAAAAUAAAAACUAAACAAAGGAGGUAAGCUAAAUUACACAAGACAGUAAAAUCAUAAGUGCAAAACUCAUUGGGGCAGAAUCAAGCUGGAGAAAUGAAAGCGUUCCAAUUAAGUUAAGAUGUUGAAUGCUGUAGCUGCUGAAAAUCUUUGAGUUCGAACACCAGGAGGAGGCAUUACAAUGAGCUAUAUCAAAGCGGUUCGUCCAAUCACCUGAUUUGUCAUGGAACACCUUUUGAUUCCUUUCAAACCAAAUUUCUGCCAAUAAAGCAUUCACCGGGUUUACCCAUAGUAAAGGAGCUUCUUUAUUUAGCUGGAGACCGCUUUGUUAAAGCAUCACAUUAUCACAAAAAGAUGCUCCAAGCGCCCAUGACAAAUUAAAGAUUUUAAACAGCCUUUUCCAAAAGUUGGCCAAAAACUUACAGAGGAAGAACAAGUGUUGGGAAUCUUCUGCAUGGUGUAGACAGUGGGCAAAUGGAGGGAGAGAGGCAACUAUUAGGUAGCUUACGUUGUAAAACUGAGAAGACAUUCAAUUGCUCUAUCAAUGUUAUCCAAACAAUGAUACUUGAUAAUGCAGAGCCCCAGUGAUCAGUAACCGAACCAUUGUGAAAUAAUGUUAUUCGGAACAACCGUGGAAAUGUUAAAAUGAAGAGUUGACACACCCUUCCAUGGAUCUAACCAAAAAGCUAUCCUUCUCCAUUUCUCAAUCUAAAGGUGGCCAAAGCUUCUAUUUUCAACCAGGUUCUGGCUAUACUCAUCCAAGGGCAUCUCGAGCAAAUGCCUUCUUUUCCGACAAUGUGCUAAUUAAAAGAGCCUUUGUCGUGGAUGCUCCUGAUAAACCUUUCACCCCCAUUUGGCUAGAGAGCCAAGUUUUUUAUUUUAGGGGACCGAGGCCUCCAUCCAAAGAAGAUUUAUUGACCAUUUUCCAAUUGACAAGGUGGCUUAAUUUACUGCCCUUAUGACCCUCCCAAAAGAAAUUCCUCAGAAUUCUUUCCAAUUUUGAAGAGACUCCUUCUGGCAAUAGAAAUGUAGACGUGUAGUAAGUGGGAAUAUUUAAAAGGGCAGAUUUAUAGAGGGUAGCUCGACCCCCUCUCGAAAGGUUAAACCUCUUCCAUUUAUCUAACUUUAUUUGGACUUUAUCAAGCACUGGUUGCCAAAAAGAGGAAAGUUUGGUGUACCCCCCUAACGGCAAUCUGAGGUAGAUCAAAGGGAGGUGAUCUACCUUGUACCCCAAAGAGGAUGCGGUGGACAACAAAUCCAUUUCUUACACAUUGAUCCCACAUAAUGUCAACUCGUCCCAGUUCACUUUUUGGCCGGAGCACCAUUCAAAAAGCUUUAUUGUCUGUUUCAAAUUUUCUAACAUGUUGUCAUAUUUGCAAAAUAGAAGGGUAUCAUCCUUAAAUUGGAGGAUAGGAACGUGAAUCUUAUCCAUUCCCACUACAAAACCUUCAUAAAAGCCAUUCUGGUGUAGAUUUUCAAUUAGUGUACCAAGGACUUCACCUACAAGUAGAAAAAGGAAAGGUGAAAGAGGGUUGCCUUGUCUAAUUCCCCUGAUGGCCAACACUCUUCCUCUUGGCCUGUCAUUGAUAGAAACUGAAUAUCUCGGGCUCUUGACACAACCCUGGAUCCUCUCAAUCCACUUGUGGUCGAACUUUUUGCUUCUCAUGAUUUUUUCGAGGAAAUCCAGUCAAUCCUAUCAAAUGCUUUUUCCAGAUCAAUCUUGAGAAGCCAACCUUUCUUUUUCUUUGCCCGGUACUUCUCAACAAUUUCAUUAGCUACAAGGAUUGGCUUGAGUAUUUGCCUUCCUUCUAUGAAUGCACUUAGCGUGGGGUAAGGAUACUUGGCAUUACCUUUUUAAGUCUUUCAGCUAGCAGUAGCACUUUGGCGAUUACCUUGUAGGUUAAGGUUGUAAGACUGAUUGACCUGGAUUUGAUGGCUACUGCAUUUCUUUUACCCUAAACCCUCCCUAGACCCUAGACCCUAGACCCGGAUCAACCAGAUGAAUUCUCCUACAAGCAAACAUUCAAUUUCCAUUCCUAUAAAAACCCUCAAAAACCGAGAUGAAGUUUAAUUUAAUUUGACUAAAUUCCAAUGCCUAAUUAAGAAUUCAGCCGGAAAGCUGUCGGGACGAGGUUUGAGGGGAUACAUCUUGGGCCAGGGCUUUCGGAGAAAAGCGUAGCAUAAAACUCCAGAAUCAGGCUUUCAAUUUCUCUGAAGGAAUUGGUAGGCUCCCCAAGAUCAUUAUCUCAGCAAUCGGGUUUUUCCUUUUUUAACUGUGAGAAAUCUGUGGAAGAAGCUGGUGUUUUCAUCCCCUAAGCGGAUCCAAUUCAACUUUCUUUUCUGAAUUAGAUUCAUCUCCUCAAUUUUGUGUAAGGACAUCAAUUCCGCCUUCAAUGAAGAUCUGGAUUCUAGUUCAAAUUCAGAAAGAAGAAAUGAGUCUGCCAUAGCAUCCCGCAUUUCAAUUUCCCGAGUCAGUUCUUCUUCUCUUGUCUGUUUUUUCUGAACUCCAGCUAGGCCGCCCUUCUCAACUUGUCACUAAGUACAAAAUCUGUCCAGCCUUCAGAACCACUGUUAGUCCAUGCUCCUUCAACUGCCAAAUUACACUCGUAGUUGCAUGAUCCGAAGAGGGAGGGCCCCCAAGUAAAUGAUCCGGCCUCAAGCAGAAUGGGUAAGUGGUCUGAGAAUAAACGAGCUUGCCUAGAAGCUCUUGUGUUUCGAAUUCAUCAUCACAAGCUCUAUUAGUAAAAAAUCUGUCCAGAACUGAUAUUGCAACUGAAGCCCCUUCUCGAGACCAAGUGAACUUACCAUUUCCAAGGGGAAUUUCCAGCAGCAUAGCUUUGUCAAUGAAGCUAUUAAACAGCUACAUUGUUGAAAGUAUCUAUAAUGAAUUUAAAUUCUUAGGUUUUUCUUUUCCCCCUAGUACUAUUCUGUAAAACUAUACUCAUUUUGUAAGAAGUGUUGCAAUCUGAGAGGAUAUUUUGUGAUUAUUUCUUUCUUUAUUUUCCAGAAUUUAUCACAUGAGGAUGCGUUUCAGCCUUGGAUGGAUCCAUCAUGCUUGAGUGUGUUGCCGCAGUCAUAGCUUGGAAGUUUAGCACAAUUUGGCUCUUGUUUCACUUUAUAUGCAGAAGAAUGAAUCCAGAUAAAAUGGUACAUCAUGAAUGUAUUUUGGUUGGUCGUGGGUUUCAUGUUUUUGUAAAUAUAUUAGGAAUUAAAUUAGUAGGUGCUAUCCAUUACAUUGUAACUCUUGUUGAGCCCAUGACAUUGAAGUGUAGAAGAAACACAUUCAUUCUGCUUAGUGUAGCAUUGCGUCUUUUUUUUUUUAUUCAUUUGGAAGAUUUUAAAAGACCAAGAUUUCAGAUUAUGAGACAGGGAAUUAAGAGAGGGCAAACUAUCACUCUGACUUCAGCUUAAACAAGUCUACACUCUAAACAUUAUCUUAAUAUUAACUCCAAAUUAAACAACUCUGCUCUCUAAUAAACACAAACUUCACACUAAACAGCUUCGCAUUCUGAAUAUAUAUUCAAUUACUCUUCUCCGAACUAGCUCAUAGUUUCAAUUUGGUCUUUUGAGUGUUUCAAGAUGUCAACAAAAGGUUGUCUAUGAUAUAUAGUAGCUUUUGAAGGUAUAAAACUACAAUUUGGAAGAUUUCAAUUUGGUCCUUCUCUGGACAGUGGCAUGUCUUUCUUUUCUUUAUUGUAGUUUCUCCCCAAUGAUAUAGUAGCUUUUGAAGGUGUAUAAAACUACAAUUUGUAGAGUUUAUGCAUUGAUGCAAUAUCAAAAUGAGAUGAAGGUGAAUAAUAUUUAUGAUUCUAUUUGGAAGACAACAUUUAAUUACAUUUGUAAAAUAUUUAUUUUGAUUGUAGAUCAUCCUGCGGUAGAUCGUUGGCAUUGAACAUAAUUCUUGGCUUUCCCAUGCUGAAGUUGAGAACCCUUGCAUUCAUAUUGUACUUGAUUUCUCCAUCAUAAAGCAUCUUUCUUAUGUAGUGUUCUAUGUCUGAACCUAUUAGCCUAAGUGUAUAUUCUGUCAAUGGAGCUCCCUGGUUUUCCACAAAUAAACACACACCCCAUCAAUAUAACUUAAUUGUCACACUAACUUCACAAAUCUAUAUUACAAAAUAUGCGUACGUGUGUCAGUAAUAUUGCCCUUCUAUCAUUACACUAUAAAUUUUGGAUGAAAAUUAAGACCUAAAACAAGUAGGGUGAUGACUUGGAACCGAACUUUUUGGACGACGAUAAAAUAAUCUAUUGCCUUCAAAUUCACUAACAUCUUGUUUAGUUAAUAUUUACUUUUUCAAUUUCUUAUUGUUUUCUAUUUUCUACUUGAUGUUUUAAAAAAUGAAAGCAAGUUUUAAAAACUACACAAAUUCUUUUAUUUUUAUUUUUAGAAUUUGACUCAAAUAGUUAACCAAAUAAACCCUGGUUUAGAAUAUAAAUAUAUUUUACAAAAUUUCCCUGUCAAAUGUUGUGGGCUUCGAUUGUUGUUUUGUCAAUUGAACCAUACAUACCUUUAAUCAAUAAAAGUACAUCAAUGUAUUUAUACAUUCUUUAGCUCAAUUAGUAUAGUAUUAGCUAGUCCUAUUUUAUUAACAAAUAGGUCGAUUUGAAGUUUUGGCAGAGCUAACCCAUGAUAUAACAAAGGAUCCUAAAAUACUAAAGAAAGAGAGAGAAAGAAAAGUACCUCAUAAUGAUCCACAAGCUCUUGGAAGUAAGCAUAGACUUUAUUGCAAGUUUCAGGAUUCCAAAGGAACUCAUUACUUGGAUCCAAAAGGAGAGUGAGUUUAUCCAUUUGAGUUUGAUCAAACUCACAAGUAAUUGGGUCAAUGUAAGCUGCAUAUAUUCUUACAUGUCUUGUUACACUGCUAAGCCAUUGUCCUCCAUACUCUCUCCCCAUGUUUUUGCUCUUCACAUUCUGUUGUACUUCCACGGGCCGCAGCGGCGACGGUUUCGGCUUUGCCUGUUCUUGAUCUUCUUCCUGGUCUCCAGCUUUUAGUUGCUCUGCAGCUUCAUUGAUCUGAGCUGAGAUGGGAAAUCUGAGUGUGUGUUUUGUGUUUUGUAUGCCAUUUUUCCAACCCACCAUAGAAAACAUUAUGUAAGAUGAAGCUGCUGCUGCUGCCGCCAUGGGAGAGUUCUUUUGGUGUCUAUCUUUUAGAAAAUGGUUGGUUUUGAUUUCUCUGUUUUAUAGUUUUGGAGUAUUUUCCUUUUUUCCCUAUGGAGGGUCUUUGUUUUUCUCUUCUUUUUUUCUUUUUCAAAUGAAAUGAGAUCCAAUUGUUUGUGGAUAAGAUUUUUUUGGUUAUGUUUCAUCAUUUGGUGCACUUACAUACAUACAUCCAUACACACAUUUAGGGCCAAAAACUUAAGAAAAUCUAUUCAGUUGAUUGAAUUAUUUUGGUAAAGGCUUAACUUAACAAUAUUUGACAUGAUCUAUCGUUAUAAUAAAAGAAUGGAAACUAUUUGGUGAAGAUAUAUUUGUUUCAUUUGUUUGUCAAAUAUUCAUGAUGCAUACAUUAUACAAAAACGAUUUAAUUUAAAUUUUUUCUUGUUUGUUUUCCAUUUUCGAGGUUAUCACAAUUUUUGAACAAAUACUUACCCUUUUAAUCUAAUUCUAAAAGCAAAACAAGUUUUAGAAAACUAACUUAUUUUAGUUUUAAAAUUUUGAUUUGGUUUUUGAAAAUAAUGAAUAAAAGUAAACAAUAAAAUUAAAAAAAAUAUUUAGACUUCCACGAAUGCAUAUCAAACUAUAAGGAAACAUAGUCAAUUGGAACCAAAUUCAACCAAAUGAUUAUAUACAUUACAGAACUAAAAGUUUAGAAAAGAGAAAAUAAUAACAAAUCUCCAUAAAAACGACUUGCUCCCAACUUUAAGGGCUUGAUUGGGUUCGAGGGUUGGAGUCGGAUGGAAUGAGUUAUUAUAGUCACUCCACUUUUAGUCCUUAGAGAUAUAAUAACGUUUUUAAGAGAAAUGAUUUUUUUUUUUUGAAUUUUAACAAAUAAUAUUUUUUUGCACGUACAUGGUAUUUUAUAAAAUACCAAAAUAUCAUCAUUCUCAAACGUAAUUAUUUCGUUUCUACAUUGUAAUUAAUUUAUGUUAUGCAUUUGUCGGCAUUUAAUUAUUUUUCACAGACAAAAGAUAUAACAACUCAUAUCAUAACUUUUUUCCUAAUAUGUCGAAACUCAACUAAUUGAUUCAACGAUAACUUUAUUCAAUCUUACAAAUUUCAAAAUAAUAAAAUUGAAUUUAAAUUUCAAAAUAAUCUUAUUGAAUUUUAAAAUAAUAAAAUUAUUAUUUUUCAGAAUUUGAGAAUCUCAACCGUAGAUUUUGUGUCAAAAUAACAUUAAUUGAAUUUCAAAAUUAAAAAAUAUAAACUUGUUUACUAUCUUAUCUCAAAAUAACAUUAAUGACUUGAAUUAUUUUUAAAUUGAAAGAAUCUCAAUAUUAAUUUUGUUUUAAAAUAAAUAUCAAAAUAACCAAAUUAUUAAUUUUUGAAUAGAAAAAUCUUAACUAUUGAUUUCAAAAUAACCCAACAACUAUUUUGAAUUUAGGAGAAUUUCAACCAUUUAUUUUAUUUCAAAAUAAUGUUUUAAUAUUAAAAUAAAAUUUAUUGGUUGAAUCACAAAAAUAACCAAAUUAUUAUUUUGAAUUAAAAUUUUAUUAGGUUUCUUUUGUUUAAAUGAGAACUCGCUUGUUGUUUGUUUCCUAAUGUUUCUUAUUAAGAGUUUAUGAAAGUCUAAUUAACUUAUUAUAAAAAUAUAGCUUUGUAUAUAUAUACAAUUAUGUAAACCAAUUAAAAUUAAAAACAAUUACUACUUGUGUUUAGAAAUAUUUUUAAAUCAUAUUCAUUUGACCGAAUAACAUUAAUUAAAUUAAAAUUUCUAUCAAUAUUGAUUUAAAACUGUAAUUAGUAUAAUUAUUUCAAUAUAUUGUAUUUUUAUCAAAAAUAUUUUGUGUAAUUAAUUUGUGAUAUAUUGUUGUAAAUUUAUCAAAGUCUUUCAAAUAUAAUUAAUUUGUGAUAUACAAUUAUGAAUAUGUAAUUAAUUUCAACGUUAGAGAACUCUAUCAUAAUCUCUUCUUAGUAUCUCGAAAUUUAAAAAUAUCAAUAACUUCAUUCAUUUUUUUAUUUCAACAUUGUGGUAAGAUUUUAACAACUUUAUUUAUUUUUUUAUUUCAAAAUAAUCAUAUCAUUAAUUUUUAUUGGCUAAAUCUCAUUUUUUUUAUUUCAAAAUAUGAUGAAUCAUUUCGUAACCUUUAAUAACUUUAAAUUAAAAUUAGUUUUGUUUAGAUUUUAAUUUAUUUUUGAAUUUUGAAUUUGAAAAACUUUUUUUUAUUUAUUUGGAAAUUAAAUCUCAACUUUUUUUUAAAUUUCAAAAUAAGUUGAAUAUUUCGAUCCUUAAUAGGUUAGAAAUUAAAAUUAGUUUUUGUAUUAGAUCUUAAUUUAUUUUUCCAAUAAAAAAGGCUAAGAUAUCGUGUUUUUGGAUAAAAUCUCCCAAAUUUGCUCGAAGAAGAUGAGAUGAAAAAAGAAAAAAGAAAAAUGGAGACGAAGGAAGAUUUUCAAAAUGAAAGAUGAGAAACGAAAAACAAAAAUGAAGAUCGUUGCAAUGGGUCUAGAAAAUGAAGACGAAGGAUUCUGACUUUGAUCGAAAAAAUAUGUAUUUAAGAUUUAUUAAAGUAUAUUUAUUCUAUUUUAACUUUAAGAAAGUAUCUUACACUUUAUGUAUAUAAGGGUAUUUUGGGCUUUUACAAAUUCUUAUUUAUUGUUUUUUUUCUUUCAUUUUACCAUUUUUGAAAAAGAAAAGCGAUUUUGCUAUUUUUCAAAAUGACAAAUUUAAAAUUGCUAUUCUUUAAAGAUACAAUUCUUUAAAGAUUCUUCUAGUUGACUCUUAGAAGAAUAGUUAUUUUUGGAGAAAUUUGAGUGGUAUAUUUUUCUUUGGGAUAUUGUUUCUUAAGUUAAUAAGAAGAAUGAUAAAUCUUCCACAAUAUGAUUGAUAAAUAUGAAAUUUAUAAAAAUAUUUUAGAUUUUUUACUUUGCUAGACUGUAUUUUGUAUUUUGUUAUAUUUUGGAAAUGUUAGAAAAUAAAUGUAUAAAUAUUUAUUAAAGAUACAAUUUUAGUUAGGAUAUAAUAUAAUAACUAAUUGGAAAUAUUAAGAACAAUUGGACAUCUUUGAAAGACUUGCUCCAAUUUUCUCUAGCAAAUAGAUCUAAGAUUAAAAUACCAUAAACGAGUUUGCAAAAUACAAUUUGUUUCGUAAAUCCAACCACCUUGCCAAUGUCCGAUCUAUUUAAAAUACACUAUACGUGUAAUGUAAACCAUGAAAUACAAUAAAGUCAUAAAUCCUCGUGUCAAUAUUUUGCUAAAAAAACUUAUUCCGCAUAGUUUUUGCUAAAUUUCCAACCGAGUAAAAUAAUUUUGGCAUUUCAUCCAAUUUCUUAAAAGAAGGAAAAAGCUUAAUUUAGCUUAAAUAUGACACAAAUAUAUGCCCGAGCCCAUAAAGUCCACGGAAGAACUUCAAAAAUAUAGAAGUUCUCUUCGUUCGUGAGGAUAGAAAUUUUUGGUUUUAGAGAGCUUAGAGAGAAUUCUUCUAACAGCAAAGCUCUUGAAAACUGUAUCACUCCUUGAAACUUAAGUUCCUUGGAGAUACAAAUAUUCUUUCGACUACAGCUUUAGAAACAUCACGAAGCGAAAGGAUCAAACACUAGAUAUCGAAUCUCACCGCAUCAAAUCAAUAUAAACAUAACAUCAACACAAGUUCAACUCCACAAAACACAUUUUUUUCGAAAACUUCAUGCAAACAAUUACAUACAUACAUAUAUAUCCAACAAUACAUACUAUAAUAUUACUGAAACUACAUGAAUAAUAUAAAUUAUCAUUGUAAUAAUAGUAAAAGUAUGUUGUAAUAUAGUAAAUAUAUCCUAGAAUCUAUAAGACCAACGACAUUCAAUUUUAAAUAUAAUAACACCUAUAACACCACGUGAGAUAUACACGUUUGUAAUAUAGUGAAUAUACUAAUAAAAUAUAAGUAGAUAUCUAACGUAUACGUAUAGUUGCACUCAUUUACUAUAACUUUUUGAUCUAUAGGACAUAUAGUGAUGACAUUUGUAAUACAUCUUAGAGUCCUAGACCAAAUUGAUAGCAAAAGACAUGCCCACUAUCUCUUAAACCGGCUUAAAAUCAACAUGAUCUGUUACCAUGAUCAACGCUAUCGUUUAAAGUAUUAUUUCACUACACGAUUGUUUAAUCUAAUUUAAACAUUGUGUAUACAUACCAGACGAUCGUUUAUAUUAUAUUAUACAAUUGUUUAUGUUUGAAACUUUGUUGUCAUUGUUUAGAGUUUAUUAUCCGAUAUUUUAAAUUUGAAGCAUUUUUUUUCAUCAUUUAAAAAUGAAGUAGAGAGUCGCGUUUUAGAAUUUAAAUCAUCGUUUAUAUUAUAAUACACAAUUAUUUAGAAGAAGAUUACUUGCACGUUUGAUAUUUCAGCUUGUGAACGGUUUCCUUUUCAAAAUGAUUAUAUGUAGGGUAAAUGGUUUGCUAUAUUUUAAAAAAGAAAAAACUCCAACUAAUUUUGAAUUAGGCUAAAUCUUAGAAUGUUUGAUGUAAAUAAGCAGACACGAGUGAUUCAAACCCUCGUAAGCUUAGAGAGCGGAGGAUUGUUAAUUUUGGGCCAACGUCCUUGAGAACGUACCGAGAACUUCAAAUCUGUGGCGAAAAGAAAUAUAGGGUUUAACUAAGAUUUUGGGUCACGUAGUUGGGGACGGCAGCUUCAGCCUUCGACCAUUCCGAUUAGACUCCCCAAAUUUCUCAUUCAACAUGGCUUUCAAGACCAACACCGUUGCUUCCGCUUCUUCUGCUGUUGCAAUUUCUUCCGAAGUUAAGCUCCUUUCCUCUCUAUUUACUCACUCUCCCGCCGUUCUAUCAUCAAAUCCCCAAAUUUCCUCUGCAAAUAAUCCCAAGUCCCUACAUGCAUCACCGGAACGGAUUUCCUUUCAACACGGGAUUCCGAUGUUCCUACAUAAGUGCAAGACAGGUAGUAUCUCUGUAACUCAAGCACACCAAUUCUUUGACCUAAUGAUGCGUUCAAUCUUUUCUUUCAAUCGUUUACUUGCUGGACUUGCUAAGAUUGAGCAUUACUCUCAAGUGUUUUCUCUCUAUAAACAAAUGCACCUUGCUGGACUUUGGCCCGAUUUACUCACACUGAAUAUAUUGAUUAAUUGCCUUUGUAAUGUGAAUCGGAUUAACGAAGGUCUCGCGGCCAUGGCGGGGAUUAUGAGGAGAGGUUACAUUCCUGAUGUAGUGACAUUUACUACCUUGAUUAAGGGCUUGUGUGUGGAGCAUAGGAUUAUUGAAGCUACUAAGCUAUUUAUGAGAAUGCAAAAGUUAGGUUGCACGCCUAAUGUGGUUACUUAUGGAACUUUGAUCAAGGGCCUAUGUGCAUUAGGGAAUAUUAACAUCGCACUUAAGUGGCAUCAAGAAAUGCUCAAUGACACUAGUCCAUAUGUAUUUAAUUGUAGGCCUAAUGUUAUUUCCUACAGUAUCAUCAUAGAUGGACUUUGUAAGGUUGGAAAUUGGGAGGAGGCUAUAUGUUUAUUCAAUGAGAUGGUGGAUCAAGGUGUUCAACCAAAUGUUGUCACAUUUAGUGUGUUGAUUGAUAUGCUUUGCAAGGAAGGACAGGUUAUCAAGGCUAAGAAGUUGCUAGAGAUGAUGAUUCAGAUAGGUAUUGUUCCUAAUUUGUUUACUUAUACUUCAUUGAUUAAGGGGUUUUGUUUGGUUGGUGACUUGAAUAGUGCCAAGGAGUUGUUUGUUAGUAUGCCAAGUAAGGGAUAUGAACCUGAUGUGAUUAGUUACAAUAUGUUAAUCAAUGGGUAUUGUAAAACCUUGAAGGUGGAAGAAGCAAUGAAGCUUUUCAAUGAAAUGCUUCAUGUGGGAAUGUGGCCAGAUGUGAAAACAUCGGGUGUCUUGUUAAAAGCGCUUUUUCUUGCCGGCAAGGUUGAUGAUGCAAAGGAACUAUUUCGUGUCAUUAAACCUUAUGCUAUGCCCAAAGAUUUAUGUAUAUGUUGUAUUUUCUUAGAUGGGUUGUGUAAGAAUGGUUAUAUUUUUGAAGCGAUGAAACUUUUUAAUGAGCUAGAAUCUUACAACAUGAAAUUGGACAUUGAAACCUUUGGUUGUCUAAUUGAUGGUCUGUGCAAAGCAGGGAAACUUGAAACUGCUUGGGAGCUAUUUGAAAAACUAUAUGAGGAAGGAAUUCAACCGGAUGCUAUGGCUUAUUCCAGUAUGAUCCAUGGGUUUUGUAAGAAGGGACAAGUAGAUAAGGCAAAUAUUUUGUUUCAAAAGAUGGAAGAAAAUGGUUGUUCUCCCGACUUAAUUACUUAUAGUAUCCUUAUGCGUGGUUUCUAUGAGAGUAAUAAAUUAGAGAAAGUGGUUCAACUCCUCCAUAGGAUGAUUGAAAAGGAUGUGUGGCCAGAUGAUGGCAUUUAUGCUAUAGUUGAAGACAUGGUUUGCAAAGAUGAAAAAUAUAAAGAAUGGCUAGACUUGCUUCAAAGAUUUUUUGUCCAAAAGCAUCGGAAUGGCUAUUUAUAGACUUAGAAGCUAUAUGACUUGGAAAUAUCUAAUCAGUUUUGAGAAGCAAUGAAACACAUUGGUUUCCAUUUUUCUUCUUUGUUGCUAAAAAAAAUAUUUGAGUUGUUCUUCACGAGCAGCAUUGGUAGCGAGUUUGUUAAGAAAUGGAGAGAGAGAGAGAGGCUGACAAUGGAGUAAUUAUACUUGGGAGAAUUGAAAUCACAACCACCAGCGGGGAGGAGCACAUUGAUUGACGACAUCGCUCGUGGGUGUGAGACUGGAGAAAAUAGGGUGUUGUGGUGUGAGAAGUUGUUGGUUAGUAUGCCAAGUAAGGGAUAUGAACCUGAUGUGAUUAGUUACAAUAUGUUAAUCAAUGGGUAUUGUAAAACCUUGAAGGUGGAAGAAGCAAUGAAGCUUUCCAAUGAAAUGUUUCAUGUGGGAAUGUGACCAGAUAUGAAAGCGCUUUUUCUUGCCGAAAUCACAAAUCUUUUCCUAGAAAAGCUCAAUGACCACUAGCGGGGAGGAGCACAUCGAUCAACGACAUUGCUUGUUGGUGGGAGACCGAUGAAAAUAGGGCGUUGUGGUGUGAGAAAAUGUGGAAAUGAAAAAGUUCUUAACAACAGACAAAAAGGGGAUUUGAGCCUUGAUGCCUCGUCAAAUGCAUAUCUUCUAUUCGAAAACCGACAUUAAAGAUUCACCUCUUUGUUAGACACUUUUUGACAUAGUACAUAAGUAUUAGUUUCGCGAUCAACUUCAAAUGCCUAAUUUGUUGUAAUGUUUGAAAUUAGGUUGUUUCUUUCUCAAAGAUAUCACUUCUGUUUUCCAUUCAUCCUUCUUCUUUUUGUUUAAGAAUUUCUUAAAGGUUGUCUUCUAGGCACAGUUGAGCGCACGAAUGUUGAGACUUCGCAACAAAAGUUUUAAAAGAUGAUAAAUUGUGAGUUGUGAAUUAAAAUUAUUCAAUUGUUUGACAUAUUUAGUCAAUCUGAAUGACUAACUAUAGAACAAUUAAACACAAAUGGAAUGAUAUAGAGUACUCAUAUUUAAGUAAUGUGAUAGCGAAUAUUAAUAAAUAAUUCGAGUUUCAACACAACAAUGUAGAUGCCAAUACCAAUAUACACAUUGAUAAGAGUGGAAAUUGUUCAAGGAGAAGAUAGUUAGGACCAGGUAGAUGAGGUAACCCAACUCCUUAAGUGCCUACUUAACUGGAUUGUUUUUUGUGUAUAUAUUAUCCCAACAUUCUUUCAUUGUUGUUUUGAUUAUCUUUCUUCUUUUCUUCAGACAUUCUAACUUGAUUUGAGUAGAUUUUUGCGGUUGAAGAUGGUGGUGAAUGAAUAGAUCUUAAUUUUGUCUUUAAUGUCAUUGGUUGCAUAAACUCAACUUUUUUUUUUUUUGAUCUACACCUUAACAUAAUUCAAAGACUUCACAAAUCUAAAUUCUACAAACUCUAGCUUAUUACAACUACGAGUUUAAUAUCCCUUGCUCAUGCUAUUGGUGAUUUUAUUAUUGGGUUUUUUGGGAUGAAAAUUGAUAUUUUUUAUCUAGGAUGUUUCUCUUGGAAAUAGGGAAAGUUGUAAGAGUUUUUCAUAAUCACUGUUAUAAAUUCACAGACCUGAGUUUAUGGCUUUAGAAGAGUAUGAAGAGGCGUAGAACAAAUUAGUCGAUAUAUACUCAUUUGGAAUGUGCAUUCUGGAAAUGAUAACUUUUGAAUAUCCGUACAAUGAAUGCCCACAUCCCACUCAAAUAUAUAAGAAAGUCAUAUCUAUUAGAAGAUUUCUCACUGUUUAUAUGUUUCUUGUGUGUACGUAUGCUCAAUAUUAAGUAACAUUUAACACUCUUUUCCCAUUUUUUUUUUUUUCUGAAUUAAGAAAGUGUCUAGAUUGUCAUUUCUUUUCAUAUAUGAUUAAUCGACAUGCAAAAGCUAUUGGAUAAUAUUUUAGAAACUACUCUAGAGUUGGUGGAACAUUCCAAUUAUGUUCCUUGUUAUGAUGAUUCUAGUGGGGGUUUGGUGUAGAGAUUUGGAUUCAAUGAACAAUAUUGUGUACGUCUAUAUCUAAUUCUAUGAAGUGAGUCAUUGGUCACAGUCAUUGCAUGCGAGACAUUAUGUCUCUCAUCAUCACGUAAUUACCAAGUCCUCGUUGAGUAUAAGCUUUCCUAUUCCUUGCCUAAGUAUAAGCGAAACAAUAGGUUCCUGGAUAAUCCAAGGUCGAACACAGGAAACUGAUAUCAAAACUUAGUUCUAAAGCUCACUCAUCAUCUAGGUAGUAUAAAAUUUCUAUCUAUACAAUAAAAAGUGUAAGUUUAAACUAUAUCUACCAUCUACACUAGAGAGUCUACAAAAAGGAAGAAUAAUAAUGGAGGCGAGAUGGAAGUGUAAACUAACUUGUGUUAAGAAAGAGUGUAGGAAGGUUUAUGCGUUACUAGGCGAUUAAGCCAUGCAACAACCUUAAUGCGAUAAAACUUAGUUAACUAGCUUAUGAUUAAUGUGAGCACCUCUCAGUACCUUAAACAUCACACUUGCUUGCCUCUCAUGAUGUAAAUGAUAAAACUUGAGAUAUAUCUAAAGGGUUUACUUACAAGACUUACAAGACUUAUAACACUUCUCUUUUAAGGGUGACAAUCUCUCGGCACCAAAUACUCACACUUGUUAUCCUUUUGGGACAUAAAUGAUGGAAGUUAUCUCGUAAAGGUGGAGUUUGUCUCUAAACUCCUCCUUUUGUGCAUUAGCCAUAUUCAUGCUAACACAAUAAGCUUUAUAAAUUAAGCUUCUUAUCAAGAACUUAUCACAUACAUAAACUAUACAAAAUACAUUGACAAAUGAACAAUAAAGGAAUGUUGGAUUGAAAAUGUAUAAACAUGCAAUAUAUUAAAGAAUGCAUGCCUUAGGCCUUUGUACAAUAUGAGCAUAUACAUUGCAAAGAAUAAUACAAACGAAAAGUAAAAGAAAUGACUUUACAAGUUAGAAGAAAGAAAGAAUGAAAUCUUCUCUACUUUGACUCUAAGCUUUUACUUACAGGCUGACUGGAGAAGAAGAAGAAAUGCUUUUACAGACGAUGGAAAGUCUAUUCCUUUCCGCUCAUCUCUAGGGUUUGGUCCAUUUAGGCUCUCCUUGUCUUGGUAAAGGUGGAGUCCUUUUAAAAGCAACUUUCGGCAGAAAAAUUCUAUCCUUUUGAACAUGUCAGUACCAAUUGCAGUCUUGUCAAGUCACAUCAACUUCAAUUACCAUUCUUGUCUUCUAGUGAACCUUCCUUGCCUAGAAAUUGUACUUGCCAAAUAGGUUCUUCUCACAUAGCCUUCGCACGAGUUCCUCUACGAUUCAAUAGUUUCUUAUUUUGUUCCCUAAUCACGCGUUAAAACACUAAAAACAAGGUAAAACACGCAUGAAGACUUAUGUAAAAUAUAUUUCCAAAUAGUUAUGAAUUUACAAUAAAAGCUAUGCGUUUUGACACACUUACUAUGCGUUUUUGUUCCAUUAUUUUACCUAAAAGGAUAUAGUAACUUAUAUUUUUAUAAGUUAUCAGUGUUAUGUUUGAUCACAUGGGUAAUUACUUUAACUACGCCUUCUUAUUUGAAGAUGCUAGAAGACAGACUUAGUGAUAUUUUGAUGCUUAUACUUAACGACUCUUUAUAUUAGAUAUCUUAAAGCUUAAAUGAAUAUGAACUAUUAUAAGUGAAUCUUUGGAAACAAGUUUCAACUUCCGAAAGGGUACUUCUAUCUACCCUGUCCUUCAUGUUUUCCAACUUAAAUGUGUCUUGAGUGUUUGGGGCAACGUUACAAUGUGCAAUGAGAUAUUGUUUAAUUAUUAGUAUUUACUUAUAGUUAUAUGUUUUGUAAAUGAUAUCUUCCUUCCAUAUUUCUGCUUAUAACUUGACAGUUAGAUUGUUUUAAUUCUAGAAUUUUAAUACUUGUGUUGGUUGUUUGAGAUAUAUGAUUCUAUGUCUUCCAUGGUUUGGUAGUUUGUAUAAAUUAAAUAUAAGUUUUAUACUUUGUUUAAUUUCUUUUUGAUAUGUUUAAUUUUUUUUUUAUUUAUCUAUUAUUUUAUGUACUUAAGUGAGUAUAUCUUCCUUGGAGAUACUUUUGGGACACCAACUUUAUAAUCCUUCGUAAUAGACAACUCCCUCGUUUGCUAGAUUUUGAAAGCUUUGUAUAUAUAUAUAUUAAUAAAUGUAAUUUGUCAAUAGCUUACUUAGUUAAACGAUUUGUCACUUUCUUGGUUGUGAAUGAGAUAAUUUUUGAGUUUGUUGAGAGUUGUGUUGUAUGCAAUAGAAGAGAUAUUAUUGUUUCUUGAAAAGAAAAGAAAGAUUAUUGAUUUGCACAUUACUUUUUUUUAUAUCAAUUUUUAAGUAUUUGAUCGUCAUUUAAAAUGGAUUGGACAAUGUUGUAAUUAUUGAAUAAAUUUGGUAAUAAACUGACACAGAAGACAUUGAAAUGGUCUACAAUGUUAGUUUUCAAAUGACAUUGUUGGGAAUCUAUAAUGGCAGUUUAAAACAGACAUCAAAGCAAAACUAACGUUAAAAAGCUUUAAUAACACGUUCAUAGAUGUCGGUCAAGAACUGACAUUGUACCUUUAUCAUGUUAUUUUAAACCAACAUUGUUGAUGUCUUAUAUGUCGAUUUUGAACUGACAUCAAAGCACAACUAACAUUAAAGGGCUUUAAUAUUAUGAUUAUAGAUGUUGGUUGGCAACUGACAUCGUACCUCUACAAUGUCAGUUUUAAACCGACAUUAAAGUUCAGUUUUGUUGUAACUGAUAACGUGUAGUAAUGACUGUUAGUAUAGCUAUUUUUAUUAGAAUAUUAAAACACAUAAGAAGUUGACCAGAACAUGUGACUUGUAUUGUAAACGCACAAGUAUUUAGAAAUAUAGCUUGCAUAAGUGAUAUUCUUGUUUUACGCGGUUAUCAUGUUUAAACGCAGGAUAAGUGAGAAGAAAAUAAAUGAGCAAAUCAUAUAAAACAUAUCACGCAAAGGCUACACAAUGGGAACUAGCUUGGCGAAUAACAACCCCAAGCAAGGAACCAAUACAUCACGCAAGGAAAGUUCACUAGAAGACAAGAAUGCCAGUUGGGAUGAUGUGACCUCACAGGACCAGAUGACAACGAAGACACACUAAGAAAAAUAGAAGUUUCCCAUUGAAAAAUAGCCUAUACAAGCACUUAUUCACCUCCACCGAAAGGAAGGAGGGCCCAAAUAGGCCAAAGAAGGUCUGUAUGGAUCUUGAGAGAGAGCUCGAGUGAGCUACCUGGAGAGUAUGUAGCCGUGAUGAAGAAAAAGACGAUUUAUGUUGAUCUCCUAACUUGUAAUAGCAAUCAACUUUCUCUUCCUCCCAUUUUAUUGUUUUCAUUUAUAUUUUUAUACCUCAUAUUGUACAUAUUGUUUGUGGGUCUAUGCCCUACAUUCUUGGAUAAAUUUAUGUAACAUAGUCGUUCAAUAUGUCAUCCCUCCUCUUCUGGAAGUCAACGUGUUAUUAAUAGCUUGAGUAGGUGAUAAUUCAUGAUAAGAAGAGUCACUUAUAAAUCUUAAAGUGCUAAUCACGCUUUUGUUAUUGCUUGGCCAGCAUAAGUUACUAACUACUCAAGAGGAAAAGUAGCUAGAACCUAAUUAGCACACGUGAAGAGAAACUUUGCCUCUUCGCGAGAGUAUUUCUAAAAUUUGGAUCCCAAAAGGAAGACAAGUGUGGACAGUGGAUAUCGAGAGGUAUCGAUCCUUAAUCAUGAAAUACCUUAAGGUGCAUAAGUGGUUUCUCCUAGAUACAAUUCACCUAGCUGUAUUAUUUGGUCAUAUAGAUCUCUGAAAAGCAGUCAUGUGUGGCAUAUAUGCCUUCGAGAGAAGCAUGCCUUAAUUACAAGUAUGUCUUAGGAAGUUAGAUCGCAUCAAAGUUAUCUCUCUACUCACUCGAAGGAUAACAUGCAGACAUUUCUGCAUUCAUUCCUUUAAUACAAGUUAGACGCGUUAUAGUCUUUCUCUUCAAGUCGCCUUAGAGACUCUUGCUUUGUAAUGAAGAGUAGAUCCUAAAACCAACGUUUGAAAACAAUUAACUGUGUUUGACCUUGGAUCACCCAGGUAAAUCUAUUGUUUCGCUUGCAUUUGGACAAGCGGUAGGAAAAAUUGUACUCAAUGAGGACUUAGGAAUUACACGAUGAAGAGGUACAUUGUGAGCAUUUCACAUGUUAUGAUCAUGCCCUAUGACUCAUCGCCUAGAAUGGAAACAUGCGAUACAGAGAGUUAAGAUGAGCGCAUUACACGCCAUGACUUGACUCCAUGACGUAUUGCAAUUGUAUUGUACACGCAUGAACUUAUUAAGUCCAAAAUAGUCCCAACCAGUAAUGUAUAGCUUAAAAGAAUCUUAUCAAAAAUGUUGAUGAAAUAGGAGAUUUAAACAUUAAACAUAAGAACAAAUCGUUUAAUAAUAGAUGAAAGAAAAUGUGGAAGAGGAGAUGAAGAAAUCAGAAAGACGAAUAAUAAAGAGAAGUGACAAAUUGUAUGCAAUAUUCAAGGCACACUACUAGAAAAAUGAGUUUUAAUGACACUGCUAAUCAAGACAUUGUGUCGUUGAAAAUAAAAAUAGGGUGGGGUGAGGUAAAUUGUGUUGUGAAAAAUAAAAAUAUGGAUUAUUUCUUGACACAAUUUUUGCAUUGUUAAUUAACGAUAAAUUUUUUUGUGUCAUUAAUUUCCAAAGUAAAAAAUUUCUAAAUGAAAAAAUCCCAAUUUUUUUUUGAAUUUCCCUUCCUCACGCAAUUAAAACUAAAUAAAAACCUCAAAUUUUCACUCAAGCAAAAAUGCUGCCGUCGAACAAAGCCUUAAUGCAAUUUUUUUUUCUCUCCUUACCAAAAACACAAAAAAUUCUUGUCGAAUGAAGUGGGCUACUGCGUUGUUGUGACGAACCUUUGCCUUCCAAUUUUCUGCCACCCGUCGCCGUCGAUUCCACACUCCAGCCACUAUCGUCAUUGCCACCACAAUAAGCCUUCACCAUCAAACCCACCAAUCUAGCCACUGCCGUCGAAUAAAUUUAUAGAAAUAUGAGUUUUAAUGACACUUGAAAUCAAGAAAAAAGGGUGGAAGGGAAUAAAAUGUGUCGUUAUGAAUAAAAAUGCAAAUUUUUUCGUGACACAAUUUUUUCGUCGUUAAAUAACGAAAUAAAUUACGUGCCAUUAAAAAUUAUCCUAAUAAAUAAUCAACGUUUUUCUUCAUUCGUACGCUUUCUGAUUUUAAAAAAAUAAUUUGACGCUUUCAUCCUUCUUGCGAACAACGAUUGAAAAAAACCCUUACUUCAUCCCACGUCGUCGCUGUCUUUUCUCUUUCACAAACGCUCUCCAGUGUCAUUUUUCUCUCUCUCGCAAACGCUUUUCACAAAUUUUCCUCUCUCAAAAGCUCUCUACCCGUCUUUUGAAGCAGCUCAGCAAAUUUGCAGGUAAUUGGAAAAUUCGUGGAGCAUGAGAUCGAUCAAGUCCAUUUAUGAGUAAGUUUGAUUAUAUUAGGUCUUGUAUAUAUGUAUUACAAUUAAUUUAUCUUUUGGAUUAUUGAAAAACCAUUAUGGACAAUGUAAUUUACAUUUCUCUUAUUAUUAAUAAAAAAUCUUUCUAAACAUACGUGGGUUAGUUGAAUCAUGUACUUAAUUUAUAUAUAUCUAUCAUUUAUAUGUCUAAAAAAUAUUUGUUGUCACUUGAAAAAUAACAAUGUCAAAGAAGUGUCGACAUAUAAGUCUUUAUUAAAUAGAAACAAUGUUGUAACCAUCAUGAGUUGACUUAGUGGUAAAAAGUUUAAAAAAUUAACUAAGAGGUCAUGAAUUCAAUCCAUGGUGGCCAACCAACAUUGAAAUUAAUUUCUUACGAGUUUCCUUGACACCCGACCCUGUAGAAUCUGACAGAUUGAAGAUUCUCCUAUUCAUAAUUUUGGUUUAAUAAAAACACAAACCCUAUCGAUACUCAUAAAUAUACACGUGUUAGUUGAGUUAAGUUCUAAUCUGAAAAUUUAAUUAAACUAAUUUUAAGUUAGGUUUGGGUAUGGAAUUAUUUCUGUUAUUGCAUAAAUUCAUUGAAUCUCCAACAAAAAAAGUUCAAUUGCUUUUAUUUUGAUUUUAGAGAAAAUGAAAAAUACAAGAACAAAUUAUAUACCAUAAAUGAAGUAAGUUUGUUGUUUGAUAUAAGAAAACUAUAACAAAAAAAAAAAAAAACUUAUCUUAACUAACAGUGGUAUGUAAUUUUCAAAUACUUUUUACCUAAUUUAUACUAAAAAAUGUAAAACCAUAUCUACUUUUGUGCUCCAUUAUAUACCCAAGAAUACAUAAAUAAAUUUGGAUCUCAACUUUUUUAAGUGAUAAAAAGCAAUGAAAAGUAAAAACCUCUUUUCUUUCUUAGUCAAAAUGUAUAUGGUCAAAGCAUCAUAUUCCCAUGAAAGUAGCCCUCCUUAUAAUAUUCAUUAUAACUUUUGUUGUUGUUUCUUGCCUAAAAUAAUUCACUUUUAAAAAAUAAAUUAAAAUAUUUACGAGCUAUAACAAAUUUUUGGAUUCUAUCAACGAUAAAAAAUGGAUAGACUUUUAUUGUUGUCUAUCAAUGCCACUAAUAGAAGCAUACCGGUGUCUAUGUAUUUAUUAUUGAUAGAUUUUGAAAAUUUUAUUAAUAUUUAUAAAUAUUUUGUCAAAUUUGUUAUUUUUGAAAAUUUUCCUUAAAAAUAUUUACUAAAACUUUUAUUAAUGAUAGACAGUGACAAACUUUUAUAAGUGUCUAUCAGUAUCACUCAUAGACUUUUAUCAAAUGUCUAUGUAAGUUUUUGCUAUAUUUUAUAAUAUUUUAGUUCAUUUUGUUAUAUUUAAAAAUAUUUUUUUAAUAACUAGACAUAUAUUAUUUACAUAAAUGAAUUUUGCAUAAAUGUUUGAUAAACUACUAAUACACCAAUGUCAUAUUAACAUUACAUUAUUGAUGAUCUUUUUAAAAUUUAUUUUAAAUUAAGACUAAUAUAUUAUUGAAUUAUUUAUAUUAUAUUUUAAAUAUACUAUUUUAUCAUGAUUUUAGAGUAAAAUGAACUGUAAUAUUUACAAACAUAGACUAAAAUUGCAUGAAAUAAAAAGAAAUCCAAACGGGGCAUUCAUUUUUCUUACACGUGGGUAAAUCCAAACCCGGCAUGCUUUUAUAAUAGUUUGAAGGAUUUGUCUUUGGAUUCCUCCACUUUAAUAAAUGUAAUUUUGGGGAGAAAGAAGUAAAAGUGGAAAAAGAUAAAACUUUCCACCAUCCGUUUGUUUUAUUCUGUUGAGACGAUGUGAACUUUUAUUUAUAAGACUUCUUUUGGGGAACUGUGAGAACAAUUCAAUAGUAAUUAAUUUUCAUAAAUAUAAGAAAAUCUAAAUAUUUUCUACUUGUCUAACAAAAUAGAAAAGUGUAACCAUUUUAUUUUAAAUAUUUCAAGUUUGUUUUUCAUUUCUUUUUAUUUUCUAUAAUUUUUCAUUUUUUUCAUCGUUUUUCUUAUCUUCUUUUUAUGCAGUUUUUUCUAUACAUAUAUUUUUUGAAAUCAUGAUCUUUGUUUUCAAUGAAUCAUAAAUCGUGUAUUUUUCUUCAAAGUGUUAUUUGGUUCAAGAUCGUGUACCAAAUAUAAAAUAUCAAUAUACGAUCUUGAUUGUUUUGGCUACAACCAAAUCUAACAAAUAUAAAAGAUAAAAAAAAAAUCAUUGGAUAUUGCUACACGAUUAUUUAGAUUUGGAUAUAUAAAUCUAAACAAUCGUGUAGUCAAAUCUAAACGAUAGUGAAGAAAAGAAUCUUAAAAAAAUUGUUUGAUAUUGGUACAAUCGUUUAGAUUUGGGUAGCCAAAUCCAAACGAUAGUGUAGCUAAAUCUAAACGAUCGUAUACCAAAUAUAAAAGAAUCUUCAUGUACCAAAUAUAAAUUUUUUAGAUUGAGAUAUUGAUACACGAUCGCUUAGAUAAUUUAGCUACGAAAUCAUUUAUCAAAUAUAUUACCCAUGCAAGUGGUUAAUUAAUCGUGUGUUGACUGGGGUAUUUUUCAUUGUGAGUCUGUGAGUUUUUUUCGUUUUUGAAAGUGUUCUAUAAGUAUAAAUAUUUUAGUGAUUGUUGUUAUAUUUUUGAAAAAACCCAUAGAAAUUACUUCAAUAAUAUUUUUGUUUGUUGAUAGAAGUUCAUACAUUGAUUAACACUGCUCUUGGCUAAAAUAUAUAAAAUUCAUAAAGUUUUUUUUGUUGAUUGUGUUCUAUUAACUUUAUAUCGAUAAUUGAUAUUAAUAGAACUCUUUCAUUGAUCGGCCAUGGUAGUAUUUUAUUGUUGCUUAUCAAUAAUAGAUAUGGAUAUAAAUCUAUCACUCUUUAUAUCAAUAGCUUCUAUCAAUAUCAGUGAUAGACAUUGGUAAGGAAUAAUAUUGUUUAAUCAAUUUCUAUCAAUAAUAAAGAUAAGGUAGUUUGAUUGUGUGUGUGCAUGAUAGUAUUCUAUUGUCGCUUAUCAAUAAUAGAUACUGAUAGAAAUCUAUCACUGAUAUACAAUUAUAGUAUUCUAUCAUUGUAUAUCAAUGAUAAACACUAAAAGGUAGUGAUAGUGUUUUAUCCUUAUCUAUAUCUCUAAUCUAUACUAUAUAAAAGAGGCUAAGGGGGAGAAAAGUUUUAUUUUUCUCCUUUUAGCCCUUUUAGUGACUGAUUAUUGGGUUAUAUUGUCACAUCCCAUCUCAAGCAACUGCUUAAUUGGCCCGGGAUGUGGUAUGAUGUCAGCUAAAGCCAUUCACCUCCGGAACAACUUCAACUGACUCUUAACAUGAAUACAUGAAACAUUUGCUAGCGAAAGUCUUAAAACUUUAAAAUACUUUAAAACCGUAGUGUAACCUAUAUGAAAUACCUUUUAUAAAUGUGUAAAAUAUAUCAAACAUAAAAGUAUAAACUCUUGAAUAAAUACAGUAAUGUUUUAAGCAAAACAAUUCCUUUUAUGAUUUAAAAUUAAGUUGGCCUGACAACAAUAAGUUCAACACGAGGAGAUUCACAGUCUGUACCUAGAAAGAGAAAAAACAUUUUGAAAGAGUAAGUCUAAAGACUUAGUGAGCAAUGAUUUUAUAAAACAAGUUUUCAUAAAACAUUUUAAUAUAAAAUUGAAGCUUUAAAUACAUUUGUCAAUAAACAGUCAUUUGAUAACAUGAUACUAGAAACAUUUGCGUAGCUUUUGUAAGACAAUGUUCCGUAGUCACAGGAAAAUUAAGCCUCCUUGAUCUAUAAAAAUUAAUAUUUUAUCAAUUAAUCCAUUGAACAUGAAAAUAUCCAAAACUUCCCUUAAAUUUUUCAAAAAUUUCAUAACAGCUCAAAACAGUCCAACGGUGAUCACUAACAUAAGGGAUGGGCCUGACCGCAAGCGUAGGACUUGAGGCCUUGCCUCAUGCGUGCUAACCUCAUAAGGGUGAUCACUAACAUAAGGGUGGGCCGCAAACUGCGUGCUAACCUCAUAGAGAGGGAUGUUGCCACGUCCUUGUCGCCUACCUAGCACGCCCAUUGUGUGCCUUAAGCGCGUUAUGCUUCCCGCACACCCUGCGCGCUAACCUCACAACGCAAGGUCAUGCGCGCAACUUGAGCACAUACCUUGCCACUCAGCUCUGCCAUGACCUUCUCACAAAGCUCAAAACCCCACGCCCAUCUCGCCUAGCAUGCAUGAUACUGACCUACUGUCUAGAACUUUAUUUUUCGUCUAGAAAACAUAACCCGACUUUCAAAUUCAUAACAUAAAAUACAUAACUCUUUUGAUAAAACUUCCUUCUACAAAGGUGUUCUAAAAUGUCUUAAAUUUCUUAUCUCAAAAUAUUAGAGCAAAAAUAAAAAAGGCGAGUUCUAUAGCCCUCUGGGAAUGCACCUUGCUCAGAUUCUUCUUGAAAAUGACCUCAUCGCUUUCUUUGAAUCAAAACACAAACUUUCUCGCAUCCAACUUGAGCAAAAGCCCUAUAAAACUAGACAUAAUUUCUAAGCUUUAAGACUAAUUUGAGUGAAUUAACACGUGUGAAUUGUAUGAAAUCCUUUGUUGAAGUUGCGUAUUUAUAGGAAGCCUUGCAUGAAAAUAUGUUGACAUCUCAUUGUUGAUUAAACUCACCUCUUAAGCUCCAAAUUACACCUUGAUAAAAAAAUGUGUAUGUAGUAUGAUUAAGACACGUGUAUUAGUCCUUAAACCAAUUGUCUUAAAACAUGCCACAUUAUUGUCCUAAUGCAUAGCCUUGGCCGUCUAGCCUUCUCGCCUACUAACCUCUAUAGCCUUCUCGCAUGGCCUUGUUUAGUGUGGUCUUGCCGUCCAAUGAAAAGCCCUAAACGAAUGCUAACCUCUAAACUCAUUUUGCAUGAUAUGCUCCUCUCCUAGCCCAUCAACGCCGUAAAUAACCUCAAAUAAAUCUUCUUGUGUGCCAUGCUUCUCACCCAUACUAACCUCACAAGCCUUCUUGCCAAGUCAAAAUACCUUGUGGGAAGCUCUUGCUAACCUCCCAAGUCAUCUUGCCUAACAUAAAUCCAAGUCUUUGUUCGCCUAUUAGAUCUUACCUAGAGGUUAUCUAAUGUCCUUGGUCGCCUAAUGCUUUAUUCAAAAUAACCUCUAAACGACUAAUGUGCCUUUCUUUGACACUUAGCCAAAAAUUUUCAACUUUUCUCUUUCUCUUAACCUAGCUAAACCUUAAUUCUUAGUCUUUCCAAGUGAUUUUACUUUCCCUUUCUCUUGUCCUAACCAAAAUUUGAUAAGUUCCAAAGGUUUUUUUUUUUUUUUUUGGGUUUCAUAUGUAUCACUAGAAGAGAAAAGUUUUCCCAAUACACCAAAUGCUUGUUGAGAGAGGGGGCAAGGAGAAAGGGUAUCUUUCGACAAGCUUAAAAGCAUGCGUCAGGAGUAAGCCAUAACUCCCAAUGCCGUAUAAAUCAUCAAAAGUUAGUUAGGAAAAAAUGAUUUAAAGAGAUAACUCUCGACGUUGUUAAGAAGAACAUUUAGAGUUAGCUAAUAACUUCCGACUAAUUAAUUACACACCAAAUUUUCAAAGAGAGCUUUCGAUGCUCUUCAUAAGACAUUGAUAACUUGUUGAAAUACAAGUUAUUGUGUUCUUUUAGGUAAAAAAAAAUGGAGUCAAAAUGCAUGAUAAAGAACCAAAAUGCAUAAUUUUUAGUGCAAAUUUAUAAUGUUAAGAGAAUGCACUUUACAUAAGUCAACAUGCUUGAUUAAUUAACUCCUCAACAUAAUGGAGUAGUUGAACUAAAAAAAUAGAACUGUGUAAGAAAUGACCAGAGUUAUGUUGCAGGCAAAGAGAAUUCCUUUAUAGUUUUGGACAGAAGCUCUUAAUAUAGCUUGCCAUAUGCAUAACAAAAUUGCCUUGUGAUUAGGAACUUCAUGUACUAUUUAUCAACUAUGAAAGGAAGAAAACCUACUGUAAGAUAUUUUCAUAUUUUUGGUAGUACUUGUUACAUUCUUGUCGAUUGUGAGUAUCACAAAAAAUGGGAUACUAAAUCUGAUAAAGGAAUAUUUCUGGGCUAUUCUUAACAAUAGAGCAUGCCAUCUCUUUAACAAAAGAACCCAAACAGGUAAAGAAACUAUCAAUGUCGUUAUAAAUGACAAUGAAAAAAUUCUCGUAGACGACCAUACGAUGACAAAAUCUUCUAUGACAAUCUAACUCAAAAGAAUAAAGAAGUUCCUUUAGAUGUUCCUAAAAACAAUAACAUCAGUAAAGACAAAUAAUUCACAACCUACUACCAGUUCAAUAGAAACCCUAGAAACGUUAUAAGGAAAUGCUCAUUCCACCCUAUUCAAAAGAAUCAUCCCUAAAAAAAGAAAGAAAGACAAUUGAUUAUGCCAAAUUAAUUACUAACAUUUGCUAUACAUCUCAUAACAAACCAAUUUCUAUGAAUGAAUUAUAUUCUUUAUAAAUGUCAUGCAAGAAGAACUUAUACAAUUCAAGAGAAAUAAUGUUUAAAAUCUACUCCCAAAACUAGAAUGAAAAAACAUUAUUGGGACAAAAUGAGUUUUUAAAAUUAAAACAGAUGAAAGCGGUUCAAUAACAAAAGAUAAAACAAGACUUGUAGCUCAAGGUUACUCCAAAACUGAAGCCAUUGAUUUUAAAGGAAUCUUUUCUCUAAUAGCUAGAUUCGAACCCAUUCGCUUACUACUUGACAUAUCUUGUCUACAAAAAUUUAAACUAUAUCAUAUGGAUAUAAAAAGUGUCUUUCUUAGUGUAUACUUAGCCUAAAGGAUUCACAAAGGAUUCACGGAUCUUAAAUAUCCUCAACGUAUCUACAAACUUAACAAAGCUCAAACAAGUUCCUUAGACUUGGUAUAAAUGACUUACUAUCUUCUUGGCACACAAAGGAUAUACUCGAGGAGUAACCGAUAAAACUUUGUUGACAAACAAAUCUUAUAAAAACUUUAUUGUUGCCCAAAUCUACGUUGAUGACAUAACUUUUGUUGAAUUUCUUGAAACAAUGGUAAAUAAUUUUAUUGAUCACAUGCAAUCUGAAUUUGUGAUGAGCAUGAUUGAGAGUUAACAUUCUUUCUUGGUCUUCAAAUAAGGUAUAAUGUAGAUUCAAAGACAUAAAUGUCUGUAAGAUUUCUCAUGCUUAAUCCAGAUUUAAUUAGUACUCUAGCUUGGAUGUAUUUAACUUUUUGUUCCAAUGUAUGAGUAUUUUCAAAUCUCAAUUAAAUUUGAGUUUUGGUCUCCUACUGCAUAAGGGUUUUUGUCCUUUUAGUUAUCUAAUUAUUGAUUAAAAAUAACUAAAAAAACUAGUAAUGUCUUUUAUUAAUUUUUUAUGAAAAUUUUUCUUUAAAAUAAAUGAGACAUUUUUUAAAAAAUAAACUAGCGGUUAAUCAUCUGAGGAGAGACAUGAGAAGAGUAAGAAUGAGGAAAGAGAGAAAUUUUUUUAAGAGCCAUUUGCACACAAAAUAUAUUAAAAGGAAAAUUGAGUCUAUGACCCAACAUUUUAAAAGGGAUAGUGACAAAUUUAGCAAUUAAAUUCAAAUUAAUUAAGUAUAUAGCACAAUUUUAAAAAAUUUGUAAUUAUAGCAAAAUUUGUCAAAUUCUAUCAGUGAUAUAAGUCUAUCACUGAUAGAUCAUGUUGUAAAUAUUGGUCUAUCACUGAUAUACCAUAUGAAGUCUAUCAACGAUACAAGUCUAUCAGUGAUAGUUUUACUAUAUUUGCAAUUUUUUUAAAAUAUUGCUAUAUCCUUAAUUAUUAUUGCUAAAAUAGUCAUCAAUUGCAAUUUCCCUAGUUAAAAAUGUAAAACUACAUUUGAUUACCAUAUGAUUGUUAUCAAAUUGUCAUCUGAUUACCACUAAUUAUCAAUGAUAUCGAUUGUUGUUUGAUUGUUAUUUGAUUACUAUAUGAUUGUUAUUUGAUAUUCAUUGUUAUCUCAUAUUUAAUGAUACCGAUUUACCAUCUCGUUGUUAUUUAAUUGCAAAUGAUAUCUUUUUUUAUAUAUAAUUACUAAAUAGAAUUAGACAAUCAUCUUAUUACCUUCAAGUUUUUGUCAACUAUCAAGUAGUUAUUGACUAUCAUCAUAUUGUCAUAUGAUUAACUUCCUUUUUUUUUUGUCAAUUGUCAGUAUGAUUUUUUUUUUUUUUUUUUUUGCAUUAUGAUUGUGUAAGACUGAUAACUUGUAGAGAUGCAAGUUAUUAUAGUCUUUUGGAUAGAAUAAUGAGACCAAAAUGGAUAAGGAGUGUAUCAAAACAUGUUACUUAUGUAGUAAAUUCAUAAAUAUUUAGAAAAUACACUUUACAUAAGCAUCAUGCCUAUACCCGAUUUAUAGUAUCUAAACACAGGCUAAAGAACAAAAGAAUAAGCUAGCGAAUGACAGAGGAACUCGUGCGAAGAUUAGGAGAAAAGACCACAUCAGAACGCAUAAAGAAGUUCACUAAAAGCCAAAAGUGGUAGAUGGAGUUGAUGUGACUUAACAACAAAGGCAGUGAUAACAUGCAUAAAUACGUAUUAUUACAACCUCUUUUAUUAGAAUAAUGAGGUCAAAACACAUGAGAAGAUGACCAAGAGGUGUAACUUACAUUGUAAAUGUUGGGAUUUAUGUUUUAAAACUCAUAGAUUGUAAAUAUAAUCCAUUGACCGUUGUUAAUAAAGUGUUAUUAUUGUAAUACUUGUUAUUGAUUAUAUUAUUAGUUUUGUCUUAAUAACCCAAAUCCAAUAAACUAACGUCCUAAGCUUUUUUAUGAGACUUGAACAGUUUGUAGAGACAUACAUGAAUCAAUGUUCGAGAUAAACUUAAAGGGUCUAUAGUAUAGAGAUAAGGCUGGGUAUCUUACCCUGGUAACACUAUGGAUACAUCUGACUUUAUAUUUGAUACAAACACAAUGAUCCAACGUGUUCAUGUAGUUGAUAUGCGAGUGAGAGUAUCCUAUGCAAUGAGUUUGCAUUAGAUCGGACCGCGAAAUAGUAACCACUAGAUGUAACUCCGUUAAUUAGGUAGAUUUCUAUUUUAUUGGUUGUAAUUUGAAAUGUUCAAAAUUACUUUGGGAAUUAGUUUAAUGUAUAGUGAUACAUUAUAAUAUAAAGUUUAUCAAACUUUAUUGUAUAAAUUUAAUUUUGAAUAUGAUUCAAAAUUAGUUUAUGAGAGAUAAAAUAUUUGAAUGAGUUCAAAUAUUAAUUUAACGUGAAUUAAAUUCAUAUUAAAAUUAUUGGAGAAAUAAUUAAUAGUUUAGUUUUAUUUUAUAUAAUUAAAUUUGAUUUUUAUUAAAUUAAUAUAAAACUAUAAUAUAUUGGAGAGAUAUUCAUUAAAUAUUUAAAUAAAAUAUUAAUUAAAUAUGAUUUAAUUAAUUAUCAACUAAUUAAUUAAUAGAUUUAAGAUUUCUAUUAAUUUUCUAAAUUAGUAGAAUCUCAUAUUUCUCUCUUACUCCAUUUCCUACUCCAAGAAGGAAAGAAAAUUAUAAAUAUGUAGAAGAAAACGAUUUUCUUUAAUCAUUUAAUCAAGAAAAAAAAAUCAAUGCUUUUGGUAUUUGCCAAAAGAAAAUAGUCUCUCUAGACAUUUUUUCCAUCUCAAUUGGUUCCCACAAAUCAAUCUCAUUCUAAAGGAUAGGAAGGUCUACGACGGGUGGUGUCCCAAUUUGGAGAUGUAUUUUGUAGAUCCAGAGAUAUAAACAAAUAAGUUUUUCUUUAUCUAAUCUAUAAUUAGAAAACAUGCUUAGUCUUUUAAGUCUAGUUUCUUAAUUUUUUUUUGUCAAUAUACUGAUAUUUUGGGAUUUUCAAAUUAAUUUGAGGAAUUAUUCUGUAAAAUUUUUUGCUGCCAUAGGGCUUUUAUCCCUUUAAUUGGUAUCAGAGCCAUCUCAAAUUUUAAUUUUCCAAUUCAUUUGAUUAAAGUUUUAAUUGGAAAAUUAAACUUUACAAUGGUUAGGUGAGAUUUUUUUUUUUAUUAUGAAAAGUUGUUUGCAAGAUAAAUGUUUUCGAUUUUGAUAUCUUAGAUUAAAGUUUUUCGUUAAUUUGAUUGAUGCAAGGGUAUGUUGUUUUGGACAUUUUAAUUAUGUAAUCGAGUUUGUAAGCUUGUGUCGUUUGAUGACAAGAGUUGCAACAAUGUUUGUUUAUGAAAAAAAAGGAAAAUCGAGAAAAAGAAAUAUAUCUUUUGCGCAUCUUUGUUAUAUUAUAUUUUUGUUUUUGGUGUAGUGGAAUUUCAUUCACCAUUCAUGCAUAAGGUUUUUAGUUCAAAUCUUGAGAUUGAAGUUUUUUUUUCUUCAGUUAUUUUAUUUUAAUUAAUUAAAUUUUUUUAGUUAUUUUAUUUUAAUAAAUUAAAUUAAUAUAAUAUAAUUAUAUUAAAUGACAUUUUUAAAAAUAGCAAAAUAAAUUAAAAUAUUUACAAGUUAUAGCAAAAUUUUGGAUUCUAUCAAUAGUUGUCUUCUAUUACUAUAACAUGUGAAUGACUAUUAAUGAUAGACUUUACUAUAGAUUGUAAGUAUUUUGUAAAAUUUGCUAUUUUUUAGAAUCUUCCUCGUAGUAAUUUGAUUUUUUUGGGUGCUAAGUUCAGUUUAUUUUGUUAUUUAUUCUAUUAUUUUAUAUGAUGUUUAAUUAAUUAUAAGCAUAAUUUAUGGCAUAUAAUUUAAAAUUCCACCGUAAAAUUAUAACUAUCAUGCGUAAUUCUUAAAUAUAAGUGUUAUAUUUUAGUUGUAUGAUUUUCUAAGUAUGUUCAUGCAUUUUUAUAUAUUAUAAAUGUUAUAAUAUAUGAUAUUAAUGCAUGAUUAUGAAUUUCAUGAGUUAUUUAAAGUAUGUUGAAUCUUAAAGGGAAAUUUUUAAAAAUAGCAAAUUUUACAAAAUAUUUACCACAUGUAACAAAUUAUAUUACUGAUAACCUUGAUAUGCUAUAGUGAUAGAAAAAUAUCAUGGAAAAAAUCCAAAAUUUUGCUAUAGCUUGUAAAUAUUUUAAUUUAUUUUGUUAUUUUUAAAAAUGUCCCAUUAAAUAUAUGAAAUAGAAUAAACAUGAUGCAUGACAUUAGUUAGUUAAAUAUAAUUUUUUUGUAUUUAAAUUAAUGUCUUCUGUAUGGUUGAUUGAUUUUAAUGUAUUAAUUUUUUUAAUAUAAAUGUUAUAUUAAUUAAGCUCAAAAUCAAUUUGUAUUGAACAAAUUACAACCUAGAUUAAUAUAAUUGUUAUAUAUAAUGUAAUGUCUUGCAUGCUCCAUGGUUUAUUUCUUAACUAAAAUUUGUUUUAAUUAAUUAAACCUUAGUAUGCAUAUUAUACGACUAAUUACUUAAUUUUAUAAUAGUUAUAACAUUUGAUAAUUAGAAACCGUCAACCUAUAAUAAAGAGUUGCAUGCAAACAUAGGCUCUCAUGAGUAAUUUGAUUUAAUUUUUAAAUUAUUUAAAAUUAAAUAGACGUAAGAUCAUAUUAAUUCAAUUCUAAUAAGAUUAGAAUUAUGUCUUAUUUUAGUUUAAUGAAACUAAUUAGGACAAAUAAGAUUUAAGGUUAUAAGGAAACUCCAUCGGUAAAGUUCUGUCUAAGGCUGGAGGUACUUAAGUUGACAGUUUACGACCUCCUACUUGAGAACUGGGUAGGACCAGACGUUGAAUUAACCUUAUUCCUAUUAAGCAUGAGAUGUUACUAGGUAAAUUAAAUGAUUUAAUACACCUAGAAACUUUAAGUGUAAAUAUGAUUUAAGACUAUAAGAGAAUUCCACUGGUAAAGUUAUGUCAAAGGAUGAGGGUACUUAAGUUGACAGUUUACAGAACACCUACCUGGAAACUGACCCAGAACCGACGUUGAAUUAACCUUAUUCCUAUUAAGCAUGAGAUGCCACUAGGUAAAUUAAAUGGUUUAAUAUACCUAGACACUUUAGAGUAAAGUUUUAUUAUAAGAGUUAUAGUAAGAAUAGACUUAGACAUAUUCAUUUAGCCGAAAUUUAGUGUAACGACUCAACUCCUUAUACUAAGUUGAGGUCAUUAUCACUAAAACAAAUAAAGACUUUUUUAUUUAAAUCAAAGAAAAUACUAAGUUUUAAAAGAAACACUUCAAAUAGUUAUUCAUAAAGUAUAAGUAAAGUAUGUAAAUAAAACAAUAAAUAAAAUAUUAGUUCGUGCCCUAUUUAAAAUAAAAAAAAUAUCUAAAAGUAAUCAUGAGUACUAAAAUAAAUUUAUGAAAAAUUUAAUAUUGAAAACAUAAAUGCAGAAGAAAAGAUAAACUGUCCCCUAUGGAAAACCACAUUGCUUCUUGUCAUUCAUUAGCUUGCCUUUACCUCUACCUUUGCUUGAAAAUUAAACAUAGAAAAGUGAGUAUAAAUUUAUACUGAGGAAGGGACUAACUACUAGUUCCACUACGUGUCAGUUAACUUUCUGUUAGUGUCCAGUAAGAAAGUACCACAUAUCUAUUGUGCUCCCGAACACACACUAUCCAGUGAUCCCGUAGGGACACAUCUGGGCUCUCGUUGAACAUGAAGGAAUCACCCUAAAGGAGAGUCAGGCUAUAAGUGAUUCUGUUAAAUCACACAUAAAAUCUAGCCACACAUGCAUAAAUAAGUGGUGAUCUUGAGGGAGACCCAAAUUGUACGACUUUAACAAGUAAAGCUAAGAGAACAUCAUAGCCUAUACAUAUAGCAUAACCUAAAUAUCAUAUCUCAAUCGUAAUGUAUCUCAACCAUAGUAUAUCUCAAUCAUAACAUAUCAUGGUCAUUACAUAUCUCAAUCAUACAUAACGAUUUUCUAUGUAGCUAUUGUUAUCUAACAUACUUAACAGUCACAUCACAGGCAUCAUAACUAUGUUAAUGCAUACUAAAGGAAAACAUAAUGUAAGGGUCUAAUAGUAGAAUCUCUUACCUGGAGAUUAGCUGAAAAAAUAUAGUUCCUUCUUGACAGUCAAUUUCCAAUUAAUUCAGUCCUAAACAUAAACAAAAUUAAAAUUAUUAAUUUUGUCAACCAUCAACCAACUAUUUAAUUAAGCAUCCAAACUUAUCCAAACUUACCUCAAGACUUAGGUUGAAUCCAACACAACCUUGAAUUGGAUUAUAUUAAACUUAUUGGCUAUGGAAGAAACUUUUAUUUGAAUAUGAUUCAAAUUUAAUUUAAGUUAAAUAUAAUAUAUUUAAUAGCUAUUAAUUAAUUGAAGAAUUAAUUAAUAGUUUAGUUUUAUUUUAUAUAAUUAAAUUAAAUUAAAUUAAUAUAAAACAAUGAGAUAUGGAAGUUAUAUUCAUUAAAUAAGAUUUAAAUGAAAUAUUAAUUAAAUAUGAUUUAAUUAAUUAUUAACUAAUUAAUUAAUGGUUAAUUAAUUAGUAUAUUUGAAAUUUUUAUUAAUUGAAUAUUUUUUAAAUUAAUAGAAUUCCAUGAUUCUAUCAUACUCCAUUUCCUACUCCAAGAAGGAAAGAGAGUUAUAAAAAUGUAGAAGAAAACAAUUUUAUUUAAUCAAUUAAUAAAGAAAAAAAAGUCAUUGCUUUUGGUCUUUGCAAAAAGAAAAUAGUUUCUGUCUAAAUAUUUUUGUCAUUCGAGUUAGUUUACACAAACCAAUUUCAUCCCAGAGGAUAGGAAUGUCUCCGAUGGAUGGUGUCCCAAUUUGAAGAUUUACUUUGUAGAUUUAGAGACAUAAACAAAUAAAUUUUUCUUUCUCUAAUAUAUAAUUGGAAAGCAUGCUUAGCUUUUAAGUCUUUAAUAAGAAAACUAGUUUCUUAAUUUUUUUGUCAAUGCACUGGUAUUUUGGGAUUCCCAAAUUAAUUGGAGAAAUGAUUAUGUAAAAUCUUUCACUGUCAUAGGGCUUUUAUCGCUUGAGUAAAUACAUAAAUAUUUAUAUACUUUACAUAAGCAUUAAGCAUUAUGCCUGUUUUACGUGGUUUUCAUGUCUAAACGCAGAAUUAAUAGAAAUGAAGAAACUAGUGAAGCAGAGACAUUUUGCAGAAGAACUACGCGAUGAGGACUCAUGUGGCGAUUAACGUCUCUAGGCGAGGAACCAUGUCAUCACGCGAGGAAGGCUCACUAGAGAACAAGAAUGGUAGUUGGAGUGAUGUGACCUUAGAGGACCGAAAUUAGUGCUGACAAUCUCAGAGGAGUAGAAGUUUUUCGCCUGAAGCUGUCUAUAAAAGAACACCACCCUCACCAUAAAGAAGGGACGCCUGAAUGGGCAAACCACAUAAAUGGGCGACAUGCUUGUGUGGGCACAAAGAGGUCCUACAUGGACAAAAACCUAGAGAGUUGGUGGCAAGGAUUAGCUUCACCACCAUGUGUACAACACUGUGUUACCUUUUCCAGCCAAAUUGUAACGAGAAAGCUUCAAGUGUGGGAGGAGAAGAGUCCAUCCUCCAUUUCUCUUAACUUGUAUUUCAUUUUCUUCCUCUUUCAAUUUUAUUAUUUCUUUACAAUGUAUUCAUUCAUAUUGUACAUUGACCAAAAACCUUCAUUCUUUAAUACAUUAUAUCUUUAUACCCUCUUUAAUCCAUCCAUGCCUCUAUUGUUCAUCUGUCUUUGUGUUAUUUAUAGUUUAAGUUUAUGAUUUGUUCACAAUAAGUAAUAUUUAUUUGUAUCGCUUAGUGUGUUAAUUGAGCUACAUUUUACAUUUGGUGAGUGUAUGUCGCCAACUACACGAGAGGAUGAGUAGCAAGGAUGUGGCUAACACACGGAAGGAAGAGUUUUCUCUACCUUGCGGAUGCCUUCCUUCAUUUGUAUGUCAAAUGGCAAACAAAUGUGGACAAUAGGCACUGCGAGGUUGCUGUCCUUAAAUGUGAAGCACUCUAAGUAAAAUAAAUAAGUAUUUCAAGAUAUAAAUCAUUUAGUCAAUCUUAGUCAUUUGGAAUUCAAAAGGAGAUCAAGUGUGGCAUUCAAUGACUCUGAGAGGAGCAUGCCUUAAUCAUAAGAUAGCUUGGUGGGUUAUAUUGCAUCAAGGUAGUGAUACAGCUUACUCGCCUGAUAGCUCGAGACCUUCCUUCACCUUUCUCUCGCAUACAAGUUAGUUCGCUCUAUCUUCCAUCUUGCUAUAAUUUAUUCUCUUGUGCAUGAGUCUCUAGGUGUAAGUAAAUAGUCUUAGUUCUUUUUUAAUAUUCUUUUAAAACCAAUAUUGUCAUGAUGCCUAAAUGAUAAGUAGAUCCUAAAACUAAUAUUUGGAACCAAUUUUCUGUCUUCGACCCUGGAUUACCCAGGUAAACCUACUGUUCGCUAGCACUUGGGUGAGCAGUAGGAAAACUUGUACUCAACAAGAACUUAGCUAUUACGCGAUGAAGAGGUACAUAUUGAGCAUUUCACAUGUUGUGCUUAUGACCCAUGACCUAUCGCAUAGAAGUGUGCGCACAAUACAUAAAGGUAAGGAGAGUAUUUUAAGUGAUGACCCUACUUCGUGACGUAUUGCAAUUGCACUAUACAGAGGCAAAACUACUAAGUCCUACUUUUACACCGUUAACUAAAUGGUGACGAAGUGGGAUGUACGUUGAACCAAUAUGUGUUAAUUUGACAUGAGUUGAUAAAUUAAUAGUAGAAAAAAAUGGUCAAUUAUUUUGGAUUAUGUUCUAUUUCAUUUUAGGUGAUAUGUUACUUUGAAUUGUUGUAGUUUACUUUUGAUUUAGCAUAGAGAAACUUGUUUUGGAUUAUGUUAAGGCAAUCUACUUAUAUUCUUUCUAUGUAGUGGUCAUUGGACACUUCUGGCUAUUAACGCAUACGAUGAGAUAGUUUAUUAUAUUGACUCACUUCGAACAACAUCGAGAGUAGAUAUUAGAUACGUAACUGACACGUAAGUAAGCUUUUUUAAUAUAUGAUGUUUACCGUCUUAAAGUUCACUUCAUGGCUAAAGUGUAGUUGUUUCUUGCAAAUAAGGCUAUUACUAUCUUUCACUCUCAGAAAAAUAUUCAAUCAAAUUGAAAACAGUCAAUAUGGAAAACAUUAAAGGUAAAGUGUAAACAUAUUUAUUUGUUAAUUAAAAGUAUACGGUAUAUGAGCUAUCUGCACCAUUAAAUAUAUAUUUUGGUAAUUUAUGUAUGUACAAUGUCCUUUGCAAGUUGGAGUAGUUGAAUGUGGGUACUAUGUGAUGAGAUACAUGAGAUAUAUAAUUACUAAUGGGAGCAUAGUAGUCACAGAUUUGGUAUGUUGUGUUUAAAUGAUUGUUUGAAUUAUUUUCUACAAUUUUCAAGUAAUCAAAGUAUUAAUUUUAAUAUUUUGGGUUUCAUAUCAGAUUGAUAUAAGGAGCUCAUAUAGUCAAUUCGAGUUAGAUGAAGUGCACGUGGAGCUUGCUGAUUUUUUGGGUGGCCACAUUUGAUUUUAUGGUGAUUAUAUAUUUUUUGGGUUAGAUAGACAAGUUUUGUUGAUACUGGAUAUAGGUGUGAUCGAUAUUUUGUUGAUAUACUUGAUAUAGCUAGGUUAAUUAGUUUAAUUGAUAUUUUGUUGAUACACUAUAGUUAGGCUACACAUAGAUGGAAAGUUUAGGUUGUUGUUAGAAAAGUAUAGGCUAACUACAUGUAUGUAUAUGGUUCAUUGAUAUAUGUUAAAAUAUUAUUAUAGUUCUUUGAUGGAAAAAGUUUACUUCAUUCAAUUGUUCAAUUAAUGUGUACUUUAGCACAUUUGUUCGUGUACUCUCUUGCUUUACUUAUAUACGUUCGACAUUGUUGAACUUCAAAACAUAUGCACGAUAAAUUAUGAAGAUAUUUUAAAAUAUAUAAUUUAAAAAAAAACUUGAUAUGCAAAACGUGUUAAGAGUAAAACAAACUCUGGACAUAUUGUAAGAAAUGUCAAUAAAUCUUAUAUAAUUGAUGUUUAUAAACUGUCAAGUAUAAUUCUACUUGACGCUUAAAAUCUGUUAAACAAAACCACUCUUGUUCUUGACACUUGAUUACUUGACGAAUAAAAAACAUAAAGUAAUCUCAUAUACUUGACGCUUUUUACUUGUCAAGUAAACUGACUUUACUUGACGCUUAAAAACUAUCAAGUAUACCUCCUUUAUUCUUGGCACUGGAUUACUUGACACAUUUAAAAGCAAUCAAGUAAAUAAAUACUUGACAGUUUUUAAGCAUCAAGUAAGGUCAGUUUUGUAGUAGUGCCAAUUUGCUCAAUUCUAACGUUGUAUGUAAUUAUUUGAUAAUUUUUUGUGCAAUAGCUACUAUCUUUCGUAUACAUUUAAUUCUUUAAACGACAACCCGACCUAAAAAUCGUUCUCUCAAUCCCUUAUAACACAACUAAUUAAAUAAUUAAAGUCAUCAUACAGUGGUUAUAUAUAAAUGAUAUACUUUUAUAAAUACAACACAUACAAGAUAAACACAAAUGAAAGCAACAUUUGAACAAUAAAAAACACCUAGUGUACUUUUCCCUUUUUUGCUACCCAAUAGCAUACACUAUUACAAGAAUUGAAUUCUCAAACAAGAUUAAAACAAUGAACAUUAAUUAAGAACCUCUUUUAUUUUUUAAUUCAAAGCAUAUGGGUCAAAGAAUCAGACGCUCAAAAAAGUAUCCAGCAAUACAUAAUAACUUUUCUUGUUAAAAUGAAAUGGAUAACCCUAAAACACUUUUGAAAAGUUUUGAACUUAUCUUAUACCACAAAACCUAAAGUAGAUGUUGAUACCACAAAAACUAGUAUAAAUAUAGAUCAACCAAAAGAAAGAAGCCCCAUCACAACAAAACUCUCUCUUAGCAAGCAUAAAUAUCAAAGAAGUGAUACGAAGAUGAGCAGCGACUCAAAGAAUGAUAAGUGGAUCCAAAUCCCUGAUACAAAAACACCUUGCGUGAUUGAUCUUGGAAAAUAUGCUGUGGAUGACUACAACAAAGCACACAAAGAUAACCUUGUAUUCAAAAAGGUUAUAAUCGGAUGGUAUUUGGAGAUAGAUUAUGAUAAAACAAAGCUUCGUCUUAUUAUUGAAGUAGUAAACAGUAAGGGAGAAGUAAUAAUAUACGAAGUAGUGAUUGUGGUAGAUGAUAAAGAUGGAAAAAAAGUGAAGACACCCAUUUCAUUUAUUCCUGGGUAUAUAGAUGAGGUGGAUCCAUGGUUAUUUUGGUUUAGAAUUAUUGAUAUUAACGACCCUCAUGUGCAACAGAUCGCCAAGUUUGCAGUGGAAAAGCAUAACCAGGAUAAUAAUGACAGUCUUGUUUACAUUUCCACAAUUGUAUGCUGGUAUCGUUUGUUGAGUCCAAUUUUAAAACAAUAUAAAGUUUAUCUUAAGGCCAAGGAUUGCUUGGGACGUGUGCGGGAUUACGAAGCUUUGGUUGAAGAAGAGAAGAAACUGCCUAAUGCGAUUCUGAAACUUAUAUAUUUCAAAGUUAUACCAAAGAAAUGUUGAAAACUUGCUACAUAUGUGGGUUUUGUUAUGUUAUGUGACGCCCUUGACUACAAAUAUAUAUAAAUAGUCAAGUGCCUUAAUAAAAUAAAGCUUUUUAAAAUAUAUAUUACAACUACAAGAAAACAUGCUGUUAUAGUGGUUUAUUUAGUCUAUAGUAAUGGUUUAUAAACGUUGCAACUCAUCUAUAGCAGCGGUCUCGCUGGCAAAACCGGUGUUGAGAGCUCAAUUGAAUGAUUCAUUUACUCAAUGCUGUGCCUUUUCUUUUUUCCUUUUUUAAAGUUUUAGUUCGAUUAACAAAGUUAUUUUAUGUCAUAACUAGUAGUAUCAUGAUCAAUUUACCUGGAAUGAAAACAAUAUUUGAUGUUUGGUUACAAAAUACGUUUCCUUCCUAAAUUUUAUCAACAAAGUAGCCAUUUACAUUAUUGACUUUAUUUUGUAAUGAUUUAGUACUUUAUUAGUCACAUUAAAGUAAAUUUUAUAAGAAAGAAAAAUUUACAAAGUAACAAAAGUUGGAUAUUUAAUUGAAAGAAAAUUUAUGUUAUGUUUAAUUACCUAAAUUAAACUAUAGUCAGAGGUGCCAAACAAAGCAAUUUGGGGUUAGUGGAUUAAGUAUAUAAUUUUUUUUAAAAGAAGAAAUAAAAUAAAAGAGAAAUGAGAAAAGGAAAAAGUGUUUGUUUAGGUUAUUUAUUCAUUUCUCCUCCAUUUCCAACAUUUUCUGUCCAAGGAAAGCAAAACCAAUAAACUAGCAGCAGUAGCAAGAGGAAAAUUUAGGAGAUUGGUGUGUUGGUGAAGAGGAUUUCUUGGUAGCAGUUUGGUGUGUUGGUGAUUUUGAGCUGUAGAAAUGGAAUUAGAUGCCAAAACUUGUCGGGUUAGAAAGUAAGUUCAAUUUCUAACAACUUUUAUGAAGCAUGCUUGAGCUGAAACUAAUGAAAAGUUGAUUCAAACUGAAGGAGACGAUAGACCCCUGGUUUACGCACGAAUUUGAGAAGUCUUUGAUGUUUUGAGUAGCCCGAAGUGUAAAAGUUAAAUUAAAAGCUCUAAUUGGUCAGAUUAUAAGUCUUAUUCAAUUUCCUACAAUUUCUAUUCAGAACAUUUGAGCUGAAAAUGAUUAGAAAUAGAUGAAAUUUCAGAAGGAAGCUGAAGGCUGUUUGAAAACGUGAAAUUGGAAUCGUCUCUGGUUUGGGGAAGUUCUAGGAAAACCCGUUAAGUUUUAGAUCUUCGUUUCUUCAGUUACAAUGUAGAGGAUUUGAAAAUGAAGAGUUUGGUAUAAAUUUUACUUAAUUUGGUUAAGAACUGAGUAAAUCAUGAGCUGCUGAAUUUAGAAUUGUGAAUAUGAAAAAUUUAGGCCAGAGUUGUGAGGAGUUUAAUUAUGUUUUUUAAGUUGGAAGUUGACAAUGAUAAAUUUUGUAUGCCAUAGUUUGUAUGUCAUGAAAUGACUAGGAGAACUUUGGAUUUUGAUACACGAAUAUAGUUUGUUUUGGCCAGGGAAGAGAAAAUAGAGCAAAUCUAUAGACUAAGGACCUAACCAAUAAAACGUCAGUGAUGAACAUGAGUUUUAAACAAAGUUCUAAAUUUGAUUUACUAAACAUGAGUUUUAAACAAAGUUCUAAAUUUGAUUUACUAAAUUAUAUUUAUAGCAUCCUUUGAGUUAAAGUAUUUUAAAUAUACUAGAUUUAUAAAUGAUUUACAAAGGGUGAGUUUCAAGUUUAGAAAUGAGUUAGAAACAAGCAUAUUUUAGCUGAGUUUACAAAGCAUUCAAGUUUGAGAAAUGUUUCUUUUCACAUGAGAUUUAUAAAUACACGUAGCUGAAUGUUGAUCAGUUUUUAAGAGUAUUAAGCAAAGUUAGAUUUAAAACUUGUUUGAUGCAAGAGAUUUAUACGAGCAUGCUACUUUAGUUGAAUUAAAAUUUGAUGUUUUAGUUUGUAUAUUUGAGAUCUACUGGGUCAUAGUAACUCAUACUUAAAGAAACUCAACAUUCAAAUAAUAAAUCUUAUAUUUAAAAGAAACAUUAAUCAAACUUUUAUAAACUCAACACAAACAUGCUUGCUCCUAACUCAUUUCCCACUUAUAAAUUUAGUAUAUUCAAAAUACUUUAACCCAGAGUAGGCUUUAAAUAUAAUUUAGCACAUCAAGUGUAGAAAUUCAUUUAAAACUCUUUUUUGUCAUUAACAAACUGUUGGUUAGGUAGUUGAUCUAUAGAUUUUUCCUAUUUCCUCUUCACGUGCCAAAACAAACCAAUUACCGGAUAUCAAAACCUGAAGUUUCUAGUUAUUUUCAACUUCCAACUUAAAGAACAUAAUUAAACUCAUCAUAACUUUAACCUAAAAUUUCAGUUUGACAGUUAUAACUUCAAUAGUUUAUACCCUUAGUUAUUAUAUACACAAAAUGAGUCAAGGCAACUAUGGGGUGAACGGACCACAUGGCGGUGAAAGGCUAACCAAUGUGGUUGUGUCAGUGGUCUGAGCAACAAGAAAUGAAUCAGUGGAAUUCCAGAAGAUGUUGAUGAUGAUGUAGUCAUCAAAGUAGUCUAUGGUAUGGGAGUGAUUCACGUCCUUCUUGGCGGAAGGAAUAGUGAAAACUAAUGUGUGUUUUAUGAAAUUGAGACGUUGAAGCCCGUUUUUAAUACAAUACCUUUGCAAAAAAAAAUGUUUAAAAAAAAUCACGAAGAAGAAGUUUAAAAUGGAGGGGAAGGAGAUAAAAAUUAAAAAAAUUACCUAUAGGUUUUCUUUUUCUUUAUUUUAUGUUAUAUUAUAUUUUAUUUUUCAUAAAGUCGUUUUUUUUUUCUUUUUUCAAUUUCUUUUCUUUUCUUUGUUUUUCUACAAAGUUAUUUGAUUUUUUUUGUAUGAAUAGCAAAAUAAUUUUAAAAAAAUUUAAAAUAUAGCAAAUAUAUAAAUAAACUAAAAAGAAUUUGAUGAAUUUUGAUAUAUUUUGUUGGUAGUUUUAAUAUUUUGGUAUUUUGUAAAAUGUUCAAAAAAAUUUAUUUUAGUUUUGAUUCCUAUUUUUUUGUAAAAGAUAUAAACCACAUAAUAGAAAUGCCUCGUAAUUUUUACUGUUUUUCAAAAAAAAAAUUCUAAGCAUAUUUGGGGUAUGACUUCUUCCAUUCAUCUCCAAUUUUGAUAAGAGCACAAGUAUACAAAAUUAUUAGUAUACAAAACUAAAAUUGUUAUCACUGCAACACUAAUUAAUUAAUUAAACUUAAAGAUCCAGCAUAAUCCGAGGCUAUAACUAUCACAAAAUUUACAAGCACACCUACCAUACUAUAUUACGUAUUAAAGUUGUGUGAUUAAAUUAUUACAAAUUAUAGGUACAAUAACUAAAUUGUUAUAACCCAAAAUUCAGACUUUCAUUUUAGGGACGAAAAUGGUUUUCAUCAGUAUUUUUCUCAAUUCAAAAACAUAUAUGGUCAAAGAGAAUCAUAUUCCCAUGCAAGUGGCCGGCCACAAGUAUAAUAACUUUUGUUGUAAAAUGAGAAUUGGGAUAACCCUAAAUUUUGUUUUUGAAAAGUUUAGUACUUAUCUUGUAAAAGGUAAAAGCAAAAUAUAUGUUGAUGCCAAAAACUAGUAUAAAUAUAGAGCAGCCGAAGGGGGAAAAAAGCACAUCACAACAAAAACUUUCUCUAAGAUAUCAAAGAAGAGAGAUAGCAAGAUGAGCUGUGAUUCCAAGAAGACGUGGAUCAAAAUCCCUGAUUGUACUACACCUUGUGUGAAUGAAGUUGCAAAAGAUGGUGUAAAUCAACACAACAAAGCGUCAGGAGAUAGCCUUGUUUACAAAAGGGUUAUUGUAGGCUGGUUUUGGGAGAUUGAUGAUCAUGCAAUAAAGCAUCGUUUGAUUAUUGAAGUAGUAACCAGCAAGGGAGUAGUGUUAAUAUAUGAAUUAAUAAUUGUGGUAGUACAAAAAGAUGGAAAAAGAGUGAGAACACUCAUUUCAUUCCUUCCUGGCUAUCUGGAUGAGAAGAAUCCAUUAAUAUUUUGGAUUAAGAUUCCUGAUGUUAAAAAAAGUUGUGUGCAAGACUGUGCAAAGUGGGCAGUGACUGAACAUAACAAGAUUACUCAUGAUUAUCUAGCAUAUGAUUCAACUGUUGAAGGUUGGUAUCAUGAGGUGAAUCCAUUUGUUAUAAUAUUUAAACUUCAUAUUAAGGCAAAGGAAUGCAUUGGACGUGUGAGGGACUAUAUUGCUGUGGUGAAGGAAGAAAAACCUCUCACUGAGAAAAUUAAGAAACUUGAAGACUUCUAUCUUAUCCGACCAAAGAAAUAAAAGUAGAAAAACUUGCUAUCUGUGCGGGUUUUUGUAUGUCAUGUUAUGUUUACGCCCUUGACUAUAACUAUAUAUAAAUAGCCAAGUGCUCAAUAAAAUAAAGCUUUUUUUAAAUAUAUAUUACUCUACCUAUGUCUAUGGUUUUUUUGUUAAUUUAUAUAUUUUCCUUUUGAAAUGGAAAUAUUGAAUGACGGAACUAACUAAUUGCCAGAUUCUAUGAACAAACACCUAAAAACGGCAUAGUGCUUUUGUUAAUAGCUGAACCAAAAUCUCCAUUGCCACACUGCAAAAAGCAAGUUAACUAGUUCCGGAAAUUGGCAAAAGUAAGCAUCCUCUUAGUUUUACUUUUAAAAGUAGCAUAUUCUUUUUUAAAUUUGUAAAACUAUUUUUCUUGGUCCAAUCUCGGGCGAAACUGACACCGAGAUUUUCGUACAAUUUUAAAAGUGUUCAACUUAACGAUUCUUUUACUUGUUCCGGUACAUCAAAGUAGCCCUUAGACGGAAAUUCUACCAUUUUUUAAGUCUUUUCAAAUCUUAUUUAAAUCUUUUAUCUUUUAAAAAGAUUCGUGGAUAUCGCGGAUACAAAAUUGUAUCGUGAAAGCACAAAUCUCUCCACGAGAGAGACAAAGACUUGAAUGGUCUACAACACGCUCUCUUUUUAGGGAUCCAUUCAAUAGGGGCAAGGUCAUUCUCCUCCUCUAAAGAUUAAUGUAACCCGUACUCAUACGGAUAUGUCAAUUGUGAUAGAUUUUGAAAAAGCAAAUGUCUUUGUUUCGAUAUUGAUAACAGUUAAAAGAAUGUCACGAAUUCGUAUAUUAUGACAUUUUUUCUCUGUCAAGAAUAGGACAAUCAUGACAGUUUUUAUAAAAUUGAACUGUCAUUGUUUCAAUAUUGACGACAGUUAUGAAAAUGCCACAAAUUAGUAUACUAUAACAUUUUUUUUCCUGUCAAGAAUAGUCCAAUCGUGACAAUUUUUAUAAAAUUAAAUUGUCAUUGUUUUUAUAUUGAUGACAGUAAAAAAAUGUUACAAAUUCGUAUACUAAAACAUUUUUCCAUGUUUUAUAUUUCUCAAUUCAUGUUUUUCUUGCCGCUCUGCUAUUACACUAACAAUUUCAAUAAUAAUAAUGUUCUAAUACAUCACUCCUAUAUGAAAACAAAGAGUCAAACUUUAAUAUAUAUACGUAAUUAUAUACUUUGUAAGAUUCGUACACCUGCUGACUAAUAUCACCUAUUGACUAAUAACCAUUUUUUGUUAAAAUGUAAUUUACAUAGAAAAAGAAUAAACAUUGACAUCUUUAGCUACGAAGAAGCCUAAAAUCAAUACAUUUGAACCAAGAGUUUGCUACCAACCAUACAAAAAGUGUUAUAUCAAUCAAUUGCUCGAAGUUGGCUUCACUGCUCCAAUAGAUUCUUCCAACCCUAGUAAGAAAACAAAAUCUCAUUUUAGAGUCUGACUAAAGAACAACCCAGCCCUUCAUUCCAGCCCUCUCCCAACGCAAUAAAAAAUAGUGAAAAUGGCACACACAAAACAUGUCUUUAGCCAAUAGGUCAUAAGUUAAUACUUCCAUUGAUUUAAGAUUGAAACAAAAGGAAACAAUAGUGAAAUUAUAGGAAAAUAACUAGCAUGUCCAAACUUUUGUGAUAACAUUUUCAGCCCCCUCCAAAAUAAAAAACAGUGAAAAUGACACACAUAAAACAUAUAUCCUUAGCCAAUAGAAAAAUUAAGAAAAAGACUAUCACAAUUGUAAGAUAGUCAUAACACUUUAACAUGUUUUUAGGCUCAAGAACUACUAGAACACUCCCAAAAAAGUAAAGUCCAAACUUGUACAUAUAGAGAACCUGAAAUUCUUUGAAUUAUACAAAACUUGUAAAUAUAGUGAAGAAAGUCCAAACCUGGAAUUCUUUGAAGCAGAUUAGAACUAAAAACCAAAUCACUCACGAAAAAUGCAAAGAACAUAACUCUCUUGAACCUUUGAAUUUCAAAAACUUGGAACAUGAAACUUAGAAAAACUUGGAAGUGAAUUUUUAUUUGAAGUUAGAAAAAGAAACAUUAAAGAUUAUUCACUAAAUAUUAUACUAAGACCAAAGAUAUUGAUCUCCAAGAACACUUUUUCAAUAUCAUUUAAUUUAAAUAAUUUUUAUAUACAAAAGCCAAAGCCAAAGCAACUGAUUCUUCACACUGCUUUUCUUUUUCAUUUGCCCACAACUCCACAUACAUAAAACACUCUCUCUUCCACUCCAUCUACAUUUUGAACCAACAACAACAAAAAAGGAUAAUGGAAAAAGAUGUACAUUUUAUCAACUGGAAAGCUAUGAACUAUAUAGAAAAAACACACUUCAAUCUAUAGAAAGUGUUAGAACCCUCACUUUCGGGUUGGGUCAUGGCAUUCUUUCCAUGCUUCAAAACUCUUUAGAAUCCGAAGAGCCCUGCCAUUAAAGCCCACUGAUCAGUAUCAAGAGAAUGUAGACUUUAAAUUUUACAUAAAAAGAAAAUUUAUAGUACCAAGAGUUCUAUAUUUUUGUUCUCCUUGGCUAAAGGUUUAUCUUAAUAAAUAUCUUACAUAAAUAAAAUUCUGAACCUAUUUUUAUGCGCAAAGAAGUAACAAGUUAGAGUAAGUUAGGGAAAUGGCAACCAUGCUAAUAAACACAACUAAAAUCAAAGUAGUCUAAAAACCAAGAAAUGGCUCCAAUUGAACAUUGAUCUUCAUUGCAACUCCAAUUAAACAAACUUUGUGAAAACACCUUAAUAAACCAUCAAGAACAAUAAAUCAAGAAGUGGAAAAAAUGUAAAAGACAACAAGUUAACAAAAAAAAAAAAUUUUAAACGCAUGGAGAAAAAACGUCUUAAAGAUUCCUCCAAGGACCAAAUUCAAUUAAACAACUCAAUUAAGAACAACGGUUCCCAAAAAAAACAAUCAAUUUCUUCACCAAACAAGUUCAAAUAGUAAAAUCUAAACACAGCCAGUUGACUAUAAACCCAAAUAAUUCAUCAGAUACAAAAACAUACACAUAAUAUUCCAAAAUAAAUAAAUAAGGGAAAAGAAAAAGAUGCAUACCAUGGAGUACUAGAGAGUUUUGAACUAAGAGUUCAACUUUUGUACUUUAGAAAGAUGUCAAAUGGUUAGGUUAAUUUUAAAAACUUAAAAACAAAAUAGCUACCAAAUCAAAGCUUAAAUCGAACUACUAGAACAUUUAUUCUACACCUCACAAAAUUUCUUAAAGAGAGGGAAUAUCAUUUCAUCAUUCACUACAACUUCAACAUGUCUCCUCACCAAAGUAAUCCACUAGAAAACAAUGGCAAAAAUUCAUCCACACAUUUUAAAGACUAAAGAUAAAUAUGUUAUUUUGCAAGUAAACAAAGAGGCUAAACCUCGAAAAAAAGAUUAGAGAAAUGGAAGAAAAGGGUUUAAGAUCCAGUGCAUUUGAAUAUAUGGGCCUUAAGAUCUCACAUAAAAAAAAUACUACAUGAGUUGAAAGAUAUUGAAAAUCUUGGUACAAGAAUCAUAUUAACAUGCAUAAGAAGAUAAGCUUUCUAUGAUCAUGCAUAAUUGAUGAAACAAUUUUGCACAUGAUGGAUUUGAUUGUAUUAGUUUAGGAUUUGACAAGUUUUCAUUUUCACAAAUGUGGGAGAGUAUUAUAGUAGUGUUGAAUUCACCUUAACUCAUAAAUUCAAGCAUUCAGAUUGUGAGAUAAUUUAAUAGUACAUACUAUACAUUUAUCUUAGACUUCUCAAACACAAGUCAUAUAAGCCAAAGUUUAAGUAAAAAAUCAACACAAGUCAUAUAAGCCAAAGUUUAAGUAAAAAAUCAAGAUGCAAAACAUAAACUAAGAAUAACUUAUCUCUAAAUAUUUCUACACUAUGAUAUAAUAUUGUCCAACUUCAAGCAUAACUCUUUUUUUUGCAAAACAUCUCAAAUAUGCUGGAGAGACGUAAGGUUAGAAGUAUAUUGUCAUGUCAAAGCAAAAGGGCACAAUGUAAGAAAGAAAAUUACAUGCCUUUCUCUUUUAUAUUCAACUUCGUCUCUUUGGUGCAUGAUACUCAGAGCUCUUCUCACCUGUCCAAAACAUUUAUAGCAUGUUGAUCAAUAAGUUUGAAUUUUGAGUACAUACAACUUUUCUUUAUUCCUCGUCUUUUUGUUGGAUCGGUAUGACAACCCUAGAGGGGGGUGAAUAGGGUUUAAAUAAACUUUUUGACAAAUAAAAAGUAAAAUCAACUAAUUAGAUAUUUUUUUAAUUUAAAUAAAGAACUUUGUAAACUUUGUUAAAUAACAAGAUUGAUAAAAAGAUAUGAAUUGAAGUAUGCAAUCAAACUCAACCAAUAAGAAUAUGUAACUAAAAUUGAAUUAAAAAAUAACUAGAAAAGAGUUAGAGAAGAAGACACCGUAAUUUUAUAGUGGUUCGGUUAAACUCAACCUACAUCCACUUUCCUAAGCACUUCUUGGGAUUUUGAUUGAAAAUUUCUUUUGACUCUUUCCACGGAUUUGAACCCAACCGAUUCUUGCUCUUUUUUCGGGUUCAAGAGCAAACCCGAUCCUUUCCACGGGUUAUGAUCCAACCGUUACAAUAUGUUGAAGUUUUUAAAUCACACAAAAGAAAACUGUCUAAAAGAGUGAGUAUACAAUUUGAAGCUCACAAAUUUAAUCCUCACAAUACAAUAAGAAGCUCUCAAGAAUAAGAUGAAAAGAAUAAAAAUUGAAAGCUUUAGAGAGAAUAACAAUGUUGGCUUUUUGCACUUUUUGAGGAUGGUAAAGAUUUAAUGAUCUUGUCUUUUAAAAUUUGGGAAAAGUGAAGUAUUUAAAAAGAGGGGAAAGAUAAAUUCAAAAUCAUUUUGGAUCAUUAGAUAUAAGUAAAAGAAAAAUGAAUGGUUGAGAUUUAAACUUAAUUAGGCGUUAGACACAAUACAAAUAAUAAUAUAAUAAUAUGUCUUUUCAAAAUAUUUUGUUUAAAAAGAAACCAAUAAAGCAACUUCACCAUCUUUUAAAAGAACUAGUCGUUAGACACAAGGAAAAAUAAUAAUAUUAAAGUCAUUUUCUUUUUAAAUUCAUUUUCUUUGUAAAAGCCAAUAAAACAUAACAAAAAGCAACAUUUGUUACUCCUUCAUUGCUCCAAGUGGCUUUCUCUAAUUGGUUCAAAUUGAAUGCUUGGUCGCCACGUCACCAUCUUGGGUAUUUUUCCGUUAAGCUUCUUUAGCAAUAUUUUCUUCAUUUGAACUUCGAUUUGGGUGAUUCAAGAGGCGUUAGAAUCAUUUUUCCAAGCUCUACGAUAUGGUCUAUUCAAAUUAAUAAAAUUGUCAAUAAAAAAAUCAGAUUUGUUAUCAUCAAAACAUAAAUUAAUUAAAUAAUUAAAAUAAAUUAAUUUGAGAUUAAGGGCAAAAAAGCCAACACUUUUAUCUCACCAAUAGUUUCUUCUAUCCACUGAAUCCAAAAGGUGCCUUGUGACUAUUUACUAAGCUUUUUAGUGCAAGAUGUCUUCCAUGCAUAAUAUCAUUAGCUUAAAUAUGCACACAGCAUACAGAGCUAUAAAUUUACUCAUAUUAACAUUGUCGUUAUUAUAGACUUGACAAACUUCAAAUUUAUUAAAAUAAAAAUAUGCUUUAAACAAAGCGUACCUUGAAAUUCCUUCAACCCUAUUAAAAAAACAGAUAAGUCCAACACUUUAACAAAUUUAUAGUGCAUAUUAUGUAUCUCAAUUGAUCACAACAAAAUAAGAUUGAACAAAUACCUAUGAGAUACCUUUUCAAUGUUGCAUAUUUUCAUAAAAGCUCGGAAAGAGGUUAUAAUACUUCUCUAGAAAAGCUCGGAUGUAAUAUAUUUAACUCUCCCCAUCUUUUCUCAUACAUCCUUCACAUAGAACAUACAAAUUAAGAAACUAUUCACUUCAUCAAAAGCAUGUCAACAACUAAAUUUCAGCUUUAAUGUCUAUAAACAUCUAAACAAAAAUGGACGUUGACAAUAAUUCAAUCUAUGAGACACUCUAAUCAAUCAACUAGUUAAUUUGUGGCAAAAAAAAAUGAAAUUCAAAUACCAAGUAACAGAAUCAACAAGUUUGAAUAGGAUGUCUGUCAAACAAAGAAGCAUUAGUUAAUCUUCCUAGAAACCCUUAUAACUUGCGAGAUUUAGAUCAUUUAACAAACUCAUCAACAACUUAUGCGUUAACACUUAAGAACCUAGCCACAUUUGUACUAACGAUCUUAAGUGCGGUGAACAAUACUCCAUAGUUCUCUAGAGUUUAAAUUCUUUCAAUCAACAACAUGGUAAUGGAAAUUCCAUAUCGAAACUAAUCGGGUAAUCACAAAACUUACUAAAAUCACCCAAUUUAUUACUAACACUUAUAAAGGUAGCCUUAAUCUUAACGAACAAUGCCUUAACGAUUUUCUGAUUUUCUACUUCGAAAACAAGCAUCCACCAACAUGGUUCAUUCAAAAAUAGCACUGAAAUUAAACGGAUACUCAAUACCCAAACCACAAGGCUUGAAACCUUACCCAAAUUCGUGUCAAAUGCCAAAGUUUUACUCCUUCUCGGCUAAAUAGUAGCUAAGUCCUUCCAAGAACUCCAAUUUAGCAUCCAAACUAUAUGGGUACUGAUUAAUUCAAGCUGAAACUCAACGGGUACUCAAGACUCACUCAAUAAAGUCUAGAAUCUCACCCAAGUUGUGCCAAAAUUCUCAAAUACGAUUUUUCGAAGGGCUGGAUAGCGGCUCAAAUACUUCUAAAACUCGAGUCUGGCAUCGAAAAGUAAUGGAUAAUGUUAAACUCAAAGUCAAAAAAUAAUGGGUAUUCAAAAUCGCCUAACAAAAUAACCCCAAAACACAAAAAUCUUACUCUAGAAGUUGAAUCUAAACGAAGAAACCAACGUUCCUCUUUCUUUUCCAUAUUUCUUUUUUUCAUCAUAUAGGGUUAGAAACCCUCAUCCUCAUGCGUGUAAGGCUGCAAAGAAACCAACAUGGCUUCACCUCCUCCAAGCAUCCCUUAAUUCCUGCACUAAAUAGAGGCCCAACAAAAGGAACUGCAACGACUUGGCUUGCCGCUGCUUAGGUUGGCAUAGAGGGAGCUUGCACGACUAGAAGAGAAAGAAAAGACUUGACUCGGGUUGGCUGGUGAUCAACUCACGAAUAAAUACACUCAGCUAAAAGUACCCUCAUUCGACUCAGAUCAAAAAGAAGGUUUUGCGAAGGGGAAACGAUGUUGCUUAGUGUUGGUUAUGCGCCUUGAGUCUGUUGUUUUCUAUGAAAUGAAUCUCUAUUUCAUUGAUAAUUUAGUAGAGUACAAACCUAUAUAUAACCAAAGAGAAAUACAGUUAAGAAAAUAAUAUCAGAAUAAUAUCUACCUAAAAAUAAUCUAAUUACUUUAAUAGAUCAGUCCAUGAACGAAGACAAAACGUUUAAUGAAGGGUCAGAUGACUUGCAAAGAACGGUGGUGGGAAACGCAUGAAUAUAGAUUUAGCUUGACAUUCGGUUGGGCUUGGGGUUCCAUUUGUCGAAUGGCUCGAAAUGUAGAAGACUUGGAGUGACAGACGACGUGAAAUGGAGAAAAUGAUUUGAUUGUUUGCCGCUAGAGUUUGGUGAAGAAGAAUGGAGAAAAUGAUUUGAUUGUUUGCACACGGAUUGAGGGGUUUGAAUUUAUAAUAUUAAUAAAUAAUAAUAAUAAAAAUAAAAACUAUUGUUAUUAUUAUUAAGAAAUUACAUCGAAUGACAAAAACAUUUAAAAAAAACUGAUCAUAACAUCUAUAUUUUGCAUAUCACGAAUAUGACAAAAUUAGUGAUAUCAGACGUUAAUUAUAGGACUAUCAGACGGUAAUUAUAGAGCUAUCAAACGGUAAUAAUAAGGUUAUUAGAGACUCAUCACUUUUAAAUUUGCUACUUUUGCAAAUUUAAAAAAUAUUGUGACAUGACUCUAUUAUCAUAAAUUUUUUUUGCUAUUUUUGGAAAAGACUCGUUAUUAUUAUUAUUAUUAAUUACUAUUUUUCCUUUUUCUAUUCCAAAAUAAUAAAUCUAGAAGUUUCUCUUUCCUCCUUAAUUUCAUCUAAUCAACUUUUCUCUCCUUAAUUAUUUAUCUUCCCACGAAUAAUUAUCUUUUCCUUGUAUAACCAUAUUUUCACCGUAUAAUUUUUAUUUACUUCAAAUAUAUAUAUAUAUAUAUAUAUAAUUAACCAUAAUUUUUUUAAAACCCAAAAAUUUAAUUCAACCAAUGACACACCACUUAAAUCAAUUCUUAACAACACCAAAAUUCUAAAUCCUCUGAUUAAUUAAAUAUUCAUCUAAAAAAUAUUUAAUUAAUUUCAAUUGCCACAAAUAAUUCUCAAUCAAUUAACUAAAACUUUACAUCCAAAUAAUUCCAAUAUAAUUAAUUAAAAUUAAGAUAACUAAAUUCAAAAUUUUCUUAAUUUUUUAAGUCUUACCAAUCACAUUCCAUUGCCAUGUUCACCUUGCUCCUCUAUCGCACAUAGUGUAAAUAUAUAGGAUACAUCAUACUAUUUAUAUCAUUUAUACGGUCAUAGAUACUGCAUGAUCAUAGAAUGCAUGAUUAGCCUACUAGAAUCAUUAAUUCUUCGUGUUCGAUCCUGGCUUACCAAGAAAACCUCUCUUUUCGUUUACGAUCAAACAAGAGCGAGGAAAACUUGUACUCAAAACGAUAAAUCAUUGUACUUAGCGACACUUAGGUAGGAAUAUGCUCCUUUUAUCGCAUGGACCUAAACUAGUUGCCAACUCUAGUCACGCAAUUAGAGCCUAAUUAGAAUGAAUUCACGAAAAACGCACAAGAAACGAUACUUACUAGGCUCUGCACUACGUUUUCUCAAAGGUUGAGAGCAGCAACAAAAGGGAGUGCAACGAUGCUACUUUUAGAGCAUAACUGAGAGACCCAAGUCUUGAAUAGAAGGGUUAUUUUUUAAGUAGGCAUUUUGAUGGUUCGUGUUGAAGCUAGGCGACACAAUGAAGAAAAUUGAAUUUAAGAGGAAGUAGGUGUUUUGGUGUUGCGACGCGAGAAGAGUAGGCGGUGAGAAUUAGGAAAAUUCGGAGGAAAUUCCUAAUCUUGAUUAGACAACUGAUGAUGUGUUGGGAUUAAGUUGAGCAUGAUUAAGAAAGCUAGUAAAUCUACACGUGUAAAAAUAUCAAGUAGAAGCUAGCAAGUUAUGAAGCGUUUAGGAAUGACUAAUUCGACUUUAUGAUUAAUAUAAAUAGGAUUGAAAGAUUUAAAGAAAGUGUUGUUAUUUUGAAGUUACCAAGAAGAAUUGCUAAGUGUUGAUAUGUUGAGGAAGCAUCAGGCGAGAGGAAAGAAACUUGGAGGACGUUCAGAGGAAGAAAAAUUAGUCUGUGAGUGAUUUUCUACAAGAAAGAAUAGUGUUUUAAAGUAUUCUUUCUAAGUCUUGUAUUGUUGUAACGCAUGUUAAUGUUUAUGGGAAAGCACAAAUGUUUUCUAAGUUAAAAUUUCAUGUUUGAUGAUUGUAUGAAUUGUAUGUAUGCAAGUAAACCAGUAGCUUUAUUCCUAUCAUAAGCUAGCUAUUAUGUGAACAUAAUGAGUCAAGACAACCAUGGAGUGAAAAGAUCACAUGGUGGUAAGAAGUUGACCAACGCAUUGAAAGGAGCAUAUUAAAUUAACAAUCUGACCAACAGGAAAUAAACUAGGAAAUUCGCCAGUGGACGUUGAUGAUGAUACGAUCAUUACAGUAGUCUAUACGUGAGGAUGGUUCAUAUUCUUGGCGAAAAGAAUAAGAGGAAACUAAUGUGUGUUUAUGUUUUCUAAAGAGGUAUUGUGAGCCUAUUUAUGAAAAUGAAGUUACUUAAUUGAAUUGUAUGCAUAAAAAAUGAUUUCUAAAACCUCAAUCACUAAGUAUUUGACUUAUGUAUUAAGUUUUCCUUCCACGGGUAUCAAGGCGUUGAGACCAGGUUAAAAAGGGUAAGGUGAGCAGGGUAAGCGUUUUAAGUGUGAAGUUGCGCUAAGCAUUGAAAGCCUUAUGCUAUAGUUCUUGUACUUAGAAAGCUUGUAUUAAGUAUUAUGUAUUGAAAUGCAUAUUGUUAGUUAAUAAAAAGAAGUUUGUUAAUCUAUCUUGUGUUGUGAAGUUUGUCGUCUAUUAGUAGUUUAAAGAUUCAAGUUGCAUUAUGAUUGAUUGUUGUGUUAAAUUUGUUUGCUAGGCAUUCAAUGUGUUAUCUUGUGAGGAGAUAUGCGUUGAGUGUCCAGGCGGUCAUGCCUCCACAUGAUCGCAUUGAGUGAUUUUGGGGCGGGGUGUGAUAGUAACAUUGCUCCAGAUUUUAGCGAACAAAGCGUAUGUGCCUCAUGACCAGAGUGCAAUUGUGCCUUUGUAGUGCAGCUAUGCUUUACCUGCUUUCUAUAUAUUUUCUUCUUCUUUUUUAGGUUAAAACGGAAUAAUUGUUGGGAAGCAUAAGGCCGACAAGUUCUUCGAAUUUUCUCUUUAUCCUCCCUCUUUCUAGCAUGUUAAGAGUAGAUUUUAGUUUUAUUUUGGGUUGUAGCUUAAGAAUUGGACUUUUCUUCCUUUUGUUUUCCUUUUGUUUAUGAGAAGUUGAUGUAAGUUUGAAUUUAGUUUUUGGCAGUAACAACCUUUUAUGUUCUCGAGAUUUUUGUUUCAUAUCCAUGUCAACUUCUAAAUGCACAAUUACGUUGUAGGCUAUCUCUGAUUAGCAUGUAUUGCUCUUGCUAAUCGAUUUAUGAUUUGUUGUAGGCUAUCUCUAAUUAGCAUGUAUCGCUCUUGCUAAUCGAUUUAUGACUUGUCACAUUCAUUCUAGGAUGUCUAGCUAUAUCUGAUUAUAUGUAGCAAUUAGUUAAGCUUUUGUUUUGUAGCUUAACUAGAAUGCCUGUUUUAAUUUGAGGUUCAAAGAUAAUCUGAUUAAUUGAAAUUAGGCUGAAUGCACAUAUUAGAGUCUCAUGUGAUUGCUUUUCGGACCUGAUAGAACUUAAGAUGUGUAGUUUAGUUAGGAUUUGCUUAAUUUUUAACUAAUAGUUAAGGCAUUCGUUCUAUUCAUUCUUAGCUAGUUAAACACUCAAUGCACGCAUAAAUCAAUUGCAUGUCCAAUUAACGGAAACCAAUGAUUGGAACUACAGAGGAAUCCUCUUAUCCCUCUUAUGCCAAAAAACAUAAAACAUUCCAUCAUAUGUUACAUUCUCGGGUUGCAGUUUAUUUUACACAUUGCACUUUUAUAUCUCUAUUCACUCCACCACCCCUAAUUUAUCUAGGGAUAACUUUCCUUUCUAGAUUGACAAAUAAAAGAAUGGAGAUUAAGAAAACAUUAAAGAAUAGUGGGAACAAAUUAUGGGAUAUGUAAAAGUGUAAAAUCUAGACGAUAGAUGGAAGGAAAUGAUAGAUCGAUUGUUAUUCAUAUACUAACGAUAUGGACUUUUCGUUCUAGAUAGAUAGUAGUAAUCUUACAAUAACGAUAAUAGAUUAUCUUUAAACCACUUUUGUUAUUCUUAAAUUUACUUGAAACGUCUUCAAUUAGACAAAAUAAAUUUAAUGUUAAUUUAACACUUUAAAUGCAAUAUUGAUGUUAUCAAAAUUGAUGUUGAAUGAUUAAGAACUUACUUAGAAGUGAGUUUCGUUAAAAUCAAUCCCCAACAUGCCAAAUCAUUAUGGUGUAAAUCAAUUUCAGUAAAUCGCUUAUAAACAUUUCUUUUUCUAGUAAAGUUUGUCAUUUCCCCCACUUGAUGCAUGGACUGAUAUGCAUCACGUUACUCCGUCAAUGCACCACAUGGCAAAAAAAAAAAAAGGAAAGUUUUGUAGGGUUGAAGUAAAUAAAACAUCAACGUUACUAAAUAAAAAGUAUCUUAUUCGUUUUAAUAUCAAUUUCUUAAAGAGUUCGAAGUUUAAAAACCACAUCAUACAUUUCCUAUUCUCACGUUUUCAAUACAUUUCAUUAAGAGGUAGAUUUAGCAUAGACGAUCCUAAUCCAUUUAUAAAUUUGAUUUUUCACAUCUUCGGAUGUUAAUAUUCUCAAUAGAAAAAAUAAAUUGUUUUUACAUUUUCUUCCAGUCUCUCUCAAGAAAUUACAUUCUGUAUAAAUCGUUUCUCAAUGUUAUCCAUUUAUUAGUUUCGUCUUUCCAAAAAAAAUCGAUGAAUUCAAUUUAGUCCCCAAUUUCCAGGUAAUUGAUCAAGUAUUUAGGAAUCAAAUUGAAAUAAUCCAAAGACGAAACUAAUGAAUGAGACUAAUGAUUUUGAAUCUAAAAUGAGAGAGAGAAGGGGCGUGUCAUACAUUUAAGCCAUCAAAACCACAUUGCUUGUAUGUGAGAGACUGCUUUCUUGGACUAAUCACAAUUGCACAAUCAACUGAAACCUAUACAGUUUCCCAAAAAGAAAAGAGCAAUGUAAAUAAUUGAAUGUGAUAUUAUAAACAAUAUAAUAUAGUAAUAUUAUGGUUAAAGGAAUAGGAAAUGAGGUGGGAAGAGAGAUUUGAUUCAAAAGUCACAUGGGGGGGGUAGGAACGAUCCGAAAGUUCCUUUCAUCAUACAUAAUGCAACUUUAGACUUUCAAAACUAGCUGUCAGCAUUGCUUCUCUCACUUCUUGUUUUUCCUUUUAAGUAUUAUAUAUAUAUACACACACACUAGAUGCAACAUCAACAAAUACAUACAUUAAUCUAAAAUUUCUAAACUGUGAUUCUUACAAUUUAUUUUGGUGGGAUCAGCAAUGUAAAGAUGAUUCUCUGUGUAAAUCUUGAAGCACUUAAAUUAGAUCAUUUGAAAUGACCUCUAGAAUUAUAAUUAUAAUGUUGCUCUAAAAAUCAUCUCAAACUGAAUUAUAAUGUUGCUCUAAAAAUCGUCUCAAACUGACUGUAACACCUAAAUUAAUCUAUAAAGAAAUUUAAGGUGCGUUCCAAUUACAUUUUAUAGAGAUUAAAUUAAAAUAUAAGUUUUCUUUUUUAAAUAAUGGAAUCUAUCUAAAAUAAAUUUUAAAAAGAAUGAGUUAGCGUGGUUUAGAAUAAACACUCCAAAUCAAUUUUUAGAAAAGUUAAUUUCUCUAAUUGUACAAAACACCCUAAUCGUCAUCUUUAGCUAUCCUUGCCAGCCAACCUUUGACAACCAUCUUCGUUGACUAUUGUUGGACAACGUUCAAUCACUGUAUCUAACAACUGUCGUCAGUAAACCUUCAAGCAUCGUUUUUCACGUGAUCGUCAACAUUCGUCUAACGUUUUUCCCACAACCACUUCUACCCAACAUUCGACUACUGCUUUCCAAUAAUUGUCACCGGCCAAGCUUCGGGUGACUGUUUUUUAGCAACCAUAGCAAAACAACUAUCGACCACGGUUGACCGUCAUGGACGAACCUCUAGUCAUUGUUUUCUGGGUACAGUUCUUCAUCAACUAUGAUGGUCAAGUUUCGUCUACUGUUUUUUCGUCAACCACCAACAAUUUCUUUCAAUCAUUGUCGACCAACUUCUAAAGAACAAUUUUUUAUGUCCACCACCUGUCAACUUCCAGUGAUUGUUUUACAACGACCUCCACUCAUUCUUUUGUCCUUGUUUUUCAACAACCGUUGUCAACAAACUUUUGACGGCAUCUUUUUAUGACCGUAAUCUGAUUAUUUUUGUUGGAAUACAAUCAAUCAUCAUCGACCAUCGCCAACCGCUAACAAUCAACUUUCGUGUACUAUUAUUUUUCGUUGUCACUGUGGGUCAACCUUCGAUAACUACUUUUAAGUGGUCGUUGUCCGUCAAUUUUUUGGCUACCAUUUUUUUAUGAUCGUCUUUGCUAAUAUUCGACAAUUGUUUCCCGAUGAUAGUUGUUGGUCAACCUCUGACAGCUACUUCCGUCAACCAUCGAUCUUCGUUUUCUGACAUUGCCAUCAGUCAUCCUUUGUCGACUAUGUUUAGACAAUCAUGGUAGACCAACUUUUGUCAAACAUUUUUUGGUAACAGUUGUCAACCAACUUUCGUCAAUUCAUUGUCGACAACUUUCGUGGACCAUUUUUUAGUGAUUAUUGCUAGCCAACUUCCGUCGACUAUUUUACGAUGAGCGUUGUCGGCUAACUUUCAUCAAACUUUUGUUGAUCGUUUUGGGUACCAUUGUCAGCCAACUUUCAUUGACUGUUUUUUGGUAUCUGUUGCCUAACAACUUUUGUUGACCACUUUUUAGUGACCAUUGCUAACCAACUUUUGUCGACUAUUUUUUAGUAAUUGUUACCAGCUAAGUUUCAUUAAAAAAAAAUUAGUUACAAUUGUUGGUCAACUUUGUUGACCAAUUUUUGGUAAUUGUUGUCGACCAACCUUUAUCAACUAUUUCUUGGUGACUGUUGCUAGUGAACAUUUAUCCAUUGUUAAUUGGUGACUGUUGUCGAUAAAUUUUUGUUGAUAGUUUUUCAAUGAUUGUUGUUAACCAACAUUUUUCGACCGUUCUUUGAUGAUCUUGCGGGUCAACUUUCGUCAACCAUUUUUCAAUGAUCGUUGUCGGCCAACUUUCAUCAACCCUUUAUUAUUGACGACCAAUUUUCGACGGCUGUUGUAGGUGAACAUUCAUUUGCAUAUAUCGGUGAUUGUUAUCAACCAAUUUUUGUAGACAGAUUUUCAAUAACAUUGUCACCCAACAUUCGUCCACUGUUGUUCGAUGACUGUUGUCAGCUAACUUUAGCCAACCGCUUUUCGACGAGCAUUAUGAACAUCAUGGGUCAACUUUCAUCGACCAUUUUUUAUGACCAUUGUCAGCCAACUUUCAUCGAUCAUUUUUCAAUAACAAUUGCUAACUAACUAUUGGCGACCAUUUUUCAGUGACCUUUGUCGACCAACUUUUUUCGACUGUUGUUUGGUAACCAUUAUCGGCUUACAUUUGUUGAUCGUGCUCGGUGACCAUUGCCUAUCGACUUGUUUUUUGGUGAGUAUUGUCAAUCAACUUUUGUCGACCAUUUUUCAAUGACCAUUACUAACCAAUUGCCAUCAACUGUUUUUCGAUGACUACUGUCGACUAACUUUAGACCGACUAUUGUCACCAACUUCUUGUUACCACUUUACAAUACUGUUGACGACCACCUCCACAAAAAAAAAAAAAAAAAAAAAAUCUUUUUUUAUAAUUUGAAAAUAUAAAAACACUUUAAACAUAAAAUAAAUCAAACACACUUUCACAUAAAAACACUUUAAAAAAAAUGUUCCAAAAUAAGGAAUUUUUAAAAGAAUAUUUAAAUAAAAAUACAUGAAAAACAUUUUCUUUUUCUAAAAUUAUUCGACACAAUCCCUUGGGUGUUACGAUUGAGAUAAUACUUUAACCUUUCAUCCAAUUACAAUGUAAAAAAUUAAGCUCCUAUGUCCAAAAAGCAAAAGAUAAACAUUAUCUAUUUUAUCCUUGGGUUUUAACUUUAAUUACCAUUUGAUUCAUAAGUUUCUAAAUGUUAGUUUAAAAAUCCACUUUUGUUUCAGUUUAAGGGAGUUUUCAAACUGUUAUAAUUUUAUCCUUGGAAAAUUUAGUUUCUUUCAAUUUUCUAUUUACAAUUUUAAACUCGAAUUUUCACUAAACUCCUAGUUCUUGUUUUGAAUGUCAAUAUCUAUAUAUAUAAAAAAAUUAUUUUACUCUUUUUCAUUGGUAAUUAAAAUUAAAUUAAAAAUUCAAUUCACAGUUCUUAAAGAUUAAAAUCUGAGUAUUCAGUUAAAAAUUAAAGUUAGAAGUGAAAUUUAAAAUCUAAAAAUAAAAAUCAAAUCUUCAAGAUAAAAUUACAAUAUUAUAAAAGUUAAUUUAAGUAUCGAAUAAAAUUAAAAAUAUUUAUGACCCAUAUAAUAAAAUAAAAAACGUGUUUCAUAAUUUAUUCAUUAUUCGUUUUCUCUCUCACCUUUAAAGUCAUUUUUCUCAUAAACACAAUAUUAUUUUCUUAUUCUUUUUUUAUUAUCAAUGACCGUUAUUAUUUUUUUUUUUUACUACAAAUAGACCACUACCGCUAAAAGAUUGAUUAGAUUGGGUACAAGACUAUAAGAUCAUUUAAAUUGGAUAAAAGGAAAUAUAAUGUACCAAGAUCGUUUAGACGGAGUACAAGGUCAUUAGACUGGAUACAAGGAUACGAGAUUGUUUUUGUAUGUGUGUAAAUUCUUAAUUACGGGGUACUUUUGUUAUUUAUCGUUGUAGGUUUAGACGAGAUUGUUGUUAUUUAUACUUUUGGGUGUUUUUUUUGUUCUAUUUUUUAAAAACCAAAAACUGGAACUAAAAAAUGCACCUAAAACAUACAUCAGUCUUCAGUUUUAUAUUAUUCACAAAACAAUUUGAACCCAAUGUCUGGAUCCAAUAGAAGCGAUAUUCAGUGGAAGCUAAUCGGAUAUCUUUAACUUGAAACAAUUAGGAAAAAUAAAUAAGUGAUAGUGCGUUCGGAAAAAUGGGCGUGAAAGUAAAGCAAAAACGAAAGAAAAGGAUGCAAACUACUGUUGUCGCUUUCCCUCUAUUUUUCGACUUUCUUCAUUUAUAUACUCAUCCAAUUAUAAACAAAAAUCCUUUUGCAACUCAAUUUCUGUCCCUAACCAAAAUAAAAAAAGUUCUGAAAUAUGUAUAUAUGAAUAUAUACACAAAAGUUCUCUGAAAUUUUAAAACAACAAAAACAAUGAAAUACACCAAUCAGACGGUCCAUAUCAGAUCCAUCCAAAUCCUUAACUCCCAAGUAUACCCACUUAAGAAGGACAAAAUAGAAAAAGAGUUUUUGCUAAAAAAAAAACAACGAAUACAACCAUAAAAUUCAAAGGUUAUCUCCCAAGGAGGUUUUUGACAACACUUUUUGUUUCUUUUUUGAACUUGGGAAAACUAAUUAGCAAAGAUCCCUCAAGGUCAGUGAGUUUCGAGUUCAAUCUUCUUGAAUUGUUUCUGUUGUUGCAUUUUGGAAUUACAGUGCUCUAGUACCAUAUUAAAUAAAACGAGUUUCCAUAGGGGAAAAUUUUCAAUGUAGGAUGACCACCUAAGGGUUUUCUAGUUUUUACUCAUAAUUGUGCAUUUAGAAUUAAGGAAAAGAGCAUUAAAAUUAAUUUCGAAGAGUUGAUUAAAAAAGAAAGAAAAGGAACCAAGAGAAGGAUAUGCGUGAAAUGAGGAAAUUACAUGGAAGUUCCUAAAAAAGCAGAGAGAAAGUAGAGAUGAGAAGUACCUGAACGCCGGGGGAAUUGAAGGACAAGAGGCGGAUCUUAGCAGCAACAUCACCGAGUAUUCUCAGCUCAACACGGUCGUUCAAGGAGGCGUCACGGAUCAAAUCGGCAGCGUCAGCUUGAAGGAGAUUAACGCGAUCCACAGCGAUGGUGGCAUCCACCUGGCGCUGGCUGUGAGGGUCUUGAAAGAAUCCCGGAACGGAGGCUCUCCCAAGUGGAAUUCCUCUGUACAUGACCGUGAACCGGGAUUCCUCGUACUUGAUUCCAACUUUAUUAGGGUUAACAGCUGUGAAAAUCAUCCGAAUGUUGAGGGAAAGAGAGGCGGUGGUGGGAUUGGGAUUGGUUAUGCCCACGUACUGGACCUUCACUUGCUGGAGAUCGAAUUGGGGUUUCUUGGGUUUGAGGGCGAGGACGACAACGAGGACGAUGGCGAGGACUAAGAGGGCGAGGAAGGAGAAAAGGAGGAAGAGGCAGCAGCAGCAGCCUUUGAAAGUGGCGGAGGAGGAGGAGGAUCUGGGAUUGUAGCGAGGGUGGACCCCGUUUGGGACAGUUCUUGAUGAUGAAGACAUCGCUCUUUGAUUUUGAAAUUUUAGAAGGGAUGGGAUUGUUGGUGGUGCUGCUGCUUGCCUGUUGGGAGUGUGAGUGUGAGUGUGAGACAGAGAUUGUGUUGUUGUGUAGCAGUUGGCAGUAGCAGCGCUCCCCCACCGAGUGCCUUCCUCUUCGCUGCCUCAUUUCUAGGCUCCCACUCGCAUUACCCUCUUUUUUCCCAUCGCUUUCUCUCUCUCUCUCCUGCAUCUUCUUUUUGCCAUUAUUAUUUUGAUGGGCUAAAUUAAAGAAAAUGACCUAAAACUUCCAUCAAACUUGCUUACUUCUAAUGUGAAAUUGAAGUGCACACAAAUGCACAACAAAAACACUAACAAUGUGUCUGGACAGGUAAAGAGUUAUGGAAAUAGGAUUACGAUAAUUCUAGUGUUAUGAUAAUAGAAUAUUAUUUUUAUAGUGUUAUGGUAACGUGUGUUGGGAAAGGAAUAUGAAAUGUAGUAUUAUGAUAGCAUAUGUUUGGAAAUGAUCAUGAUAGUAGUGUUAUAAUAAUAUGUGUUUGGAGAAAUGAUUAUUACUAUAGUAUUAUUACAAUGUGUUUGAGGAAGGAUUAUUGUUGUAUUAUUAUUAUAACAUAUGUUUGGUGAAAGUGAUACGAGUGUAGUAUUAUGAUAAUACGCAUUUGGGGCAAAGAUUAUGUUAAUGGAUUUAGGAUAAAUUUUUUUAUUUAAAUAAGGAAUAUUAAUAUAUGAAUUAAAAAAUAUCAUAGAUUUUAAAAAAAAAUAAACAAUAUUAAUUUAUGUAAUUAUAAUAAACCAAUUUUUUAUUUCCAUACAUUUUCAAAUAUUCUUCUUAUGUACCCAAAAUUGUUACGUUCAGACCCAUUUCAUUUCAUUUUUCCUUGACGUAUAUGCAAUUGGAAAAUAAUAGUCUCUUGAUUAAAAAUAGUUUUUCAAAUGACUUUUGUGUUCAUUGAUUUUAGGUAACUUACUAAGAAUCCUAAAAAGUGAUUAUUGUUUUACGUAAAAAAGAAUGAAAAACCUAUAAUUUAUAACAUUUUAAUAACUUGUAAAAAACUCUAUUGAGGUUCUAACCGUUCACCUAACCUUGAUUUUUGUCUCCCUAUUGUGUUUAAUUUCUAUAUCGGUUAUGAAAACACAAUUAGUUUAUGAAGUUUAAGGGAUUUUUUUUUUUUUUUUUUUUUUUUUUUGCAACCAUCGCAACUUAGUAAGAAUCCUAAAAAAUUGUUUUAUGUAUAGGUUGUUCGAAAUGUCAAAACAACUACACGUGACCUCGAUUUUUUUUAUUAGAACAGUAGCUGAUGAAUGAAAAUGAUAGUGCAAUAGUAGAGACAUGGUUUGUGUAAUAUGCAAAUUAAUCAAUAAACAAAACUAUUAUUCAAUAUAGUAAGGAAAUUACGGUUUACAUAAUGACGUAUAGCAAGCGUUUAAUAAACAAACAUUAAGACGAAGGAAACAAAUGAAUUUAUUACAAAAUUCAAUUAACUAGACCACAAAUAGAUCGGCUUGAUAAAUGAAUGAGGUUUAUAGCCGUAGUACCUCCUUUACGAAUGGUAUAAGUGCGACAACCUGAAAAUACACACACAAAAAAAUUGCAUUACGUAAUGUAAAAGGAACUAAAUAUGUGUACUAAACAUACCUUAACCGCAAAAAGAACCUUACAAAUUCAUGUAACUGUACAAUAAAUAACAUAAGCAUUAAUACAUAAAGAAAGGGAAAGAAAGUAGCCUCAGAGUUAAGAAAUUCCUGCAAAGGCAUUCAAGAAGAAUGCAUUUGCCAUAGAAAUUCGUGUGGUGGACUCGAUUACAUCAUAUGUAAAAGCAAAGCAAGCAAAGAGAGUCAGAAAACCGAUAUCAUUCAAAAGAGCAAGGGAGACAUGGUGACAAAACAAUGGGUUAUAAAGAAUUUGAUACAGUGGCUAAAAUGGCAUCACAUUGUUGACAUAAAAAUAGGAUGCUAGAAGAAUAGACAGUGUAGUGUUAUCAUAAACCAAGAGGCAGUAACCAUAAUUUAAUGCAACCAUGGAAACAAAAAAAAAAACAAGUGAAACAAAUCCAUAUAUGUGAGGAACAUGAGGAACACGGAGUGAAACAAAAAAAAACAAGUGAAACAGGUUUGUUUAAAUAAUAAUAAGGCAAUAAACAAAUGGAAUGAAUCACAAAAUUCAUUUAGAUGCAGUAAACAUAACAUGGAAUGGGGGUGCAAGACAAAAUGGAUCACAUAGGGAGGCAAACCAAAAUCAUACAUGUGAGGAACAUAGAGUCAGGAACACCAAAACAAAUUGAUGAACGAACCAUUGGAAAAAAAAAAAAAAUUGAACCAAAGUUUUCAUACUUCAGAGAGUGUCCAACAUUAAACUCAUCACUGGCAAUGGAAAAACAAAUGUAUUGUAGACCCAAAAAAAUGUACAAACAUGAAAAAAGCAUCAGGGAGUGACCACCAAUUUACUCAUCAUUUGCCACACAUACCUUCAGUGUUGACCGACGACCCCUACCAUGCUCCAUCGUGCCCCUACUUGACUUUCGUUCAACAUAUUAGUGUAGCAUCUGUGACAUUAAUGGACGUUUGGUCGAAACAAAAGAGCAGUGAACUCGUUCUCAAACCGACAAGGGUUGAGGAGCGGCAAGGUAGGUUUCAUUGGCAAAUCAAACAUAUGGAAAGAUGGAGAGAGGAUGAGAAACGUUUCGGAGGUAACACACGUUUGUGUGGCAAUCAAUCAACGAAAUGCAUCGAAGAGAGGAUGAGAACCGUUUCGAAGGUAGCAUCAAAAUGCAACCGUCACAAAAAAAAUAGGUUUCAUCGGUAGGAACAUAAAAUCGAAAAAAGUAAGGCAAAAAUUGAAGACGAACAGAACUUGUAUAUCGUCGAAAAUGGGAGGGAAGGAAAUACAUUUCCUUUCAUUUUCAGUUUACAGUGAGGAGGAAAAGGAAGAAGACAAUGGAAAAUUAGAAAGAUAAUUAGAGGAAAAGGGAAGAAAAUCAAACGAAAAUCAAACAAAAAUCAGAAGAAAAUGGGGGAAAAACAAUAGGAGAAGUAGGAUUAAAUGGGGAUUAGGAUCAUAACCCUUGGGCCUUGGGCCAACACGGUUUGGCCCAAUUUCCUUUUCCUUUUCCCCCUAAAUUCCUACCCCAAACAUACUCUAAAGGAUAAAAAGACAUGCUAGCACAAGCGGAUUGAAUUAAAAUUCUCUAAUUGCUCUUAAUUUUAUGGAUUACAUGCUUUAGAAAAGGGAAGAAAUAGAGAUUUUGAUAAACUCACCUUUCAAGCUCGAACUAUCUUUUGAUUGAUGUUGAAGUUGAUCACGAACGAGAUGUAGACCACCACGAGAGUCAUCCCAACUAUCAUCCCACCUUAGGACAUAUGAUGGAAUCCUAAAGGCCUAUUUGAUAACGUUCUCGUUUGUGAUUCUUUAUUUCUAAUUUCCUGUUUCAUGUUUAUUAAAUUUUAACAACUAGAAACUUGAAUAUAUUUGGUAACUAUUUUUAUUUAUUGUUUCUUGAAAAAAAAAACCAUAAACAUAAC